CCAAACACACAGAUGCCAAGAUCUAUCAGUGAACUUCUGCAUCCUGGUUUGUGUUGAGCUCUUUAGAAUCUUAGAUAUCUCUUCUACCUGCCAUUUUACUAAAAUAUGUUCCACCACAUAUUUAUCAGUUAACCACUGUUAUUACAUGAGUGACACAUAUUCACAAAUCGGCUGAUCACUUAUUUUCCAUUAUGACGUUGAUAUAUAAUUUGCAGACUCCACAAAUGAAGAAAAGAGCACAAAUGACGUUGGCAAACCUGAAACUUUCCCAUUGGGCAAUAAACAUUACUCCAGUCAAAAACAUUAUGGAAGAGGCAAACCUGAAACUUUCCCAUUGGGCAAUAAACAUUACUCCAGUCAAAGACAUUAUGGAAGAGGCAAACCUGAAACUUUCCCAUUGGGCAAUAAACAUUACUCCAGUCAAAGACAUUAUGGAAGAGGCAAACCUGAAACUUUCCCAUUGGGCAAUAAACAUUACUCCAGUCAAAAACAUUAUGGAAGAGGCAAACCUGAAACUUUCCCAUUGGGCAAUCAGCAUUACUCCAGUCAAAAAAAGUAUGGAAGAGGUGCUUCUCCAUCCGACAAUCAACCACCAAUUCCAUAGAAAUUCAAACACGGCUACUUUCUUGCCACGAGAAAGCGCUCAAUCGAUCCCCUUCUCCUCUAACAAACUACCAGAAAUUUUCAACCAUUUUUCAGUGAAGCCAACAUCUGAGGAAGCCAAAACAAUUAAGCAAACAAUCGAAGAGUGUGAAGCUCCAGACCUUAAGGGAGAGGAAAUAUAUUGCGCCACAUCUUUAGAAUCAAUGGUUGAUUUUAGCACUUCGAAGCUUGGAACAAGAAACGUUGAAGCAAUCUCGACGGAGGUAUUGGAAAAAGGAGCCACCAUGUCCAUCCAAAACUAUACAACAAUGCCGGGACUGAAGAAGUUGGCAGGUGACAAAGUCGUUGUGUGUCAUAAGCAGAACUAUCCCUAUGCUGUGUUUUUCUGCCAUGCAAUAAAACAUACAGCAGCUUAUGCUCUCUCCCUGAAAGGCGAUGAUGGGGAGAAGGUUAAAGCAGUAACCAUCUGCCAUCUAGACACAUCAGAAUGGGACCCAGAGCAUAUGUCCUUCAAAAUCGUCAACGUUAAGCCCGGAACCAUUCCCAUCUGCCAUUUCAUUUCCACUGAUGCUAUUGCCUGGGUUCCGAACCACAAAUCUGCAUGAUCAUCACUUAGCACUAGUACUGUGCGUAUAAUAUGCCUGUAUAAUUAUCUCCCUACUUAUUUCUGCCUGUUCAUCAUGUGGUGUAAGAUAUAUGUUGAGAUGAAGUUUUUGGGAUUAGUGGUCGAAAUUAACCCGAUCAUGUUUUCUCUUGUAACUAUAUAGACUUCAACUUGUACUCAUAAUAAAGCAUGCUAUAUUUAUGAAGAGAUAUUAAUCUUCAGGCAAAUAGAUAUUAUGAAAACAUAUAUAGCAAUUUAUCCAGAAGAAAUAUUAUGAAAUGAAAAGAAUAAAAAGUAAAAAAACAGAAGGAAAGGAAUUCGCACCUGCUAUGUAUGAAAGGACCAAGAUUGUUUUCCCUUUGGUUAAUGACUAGAAAAGCUCACUUGCAGAUUGCUUUCUCUGACCGUAGAUGCAACAGAAAUUUUCUCUUAAUAAUAGCACAAUGAUCGGGUAAUUGUAAGAACAAGUUGAUUUAAAAUUCCUUGACCCAAAAAAAAAAAAAAAAUCAUUUCAAAUUCAGGUCAACCCAUAGAUUUCUUGCCUUUUUCUUCUUCAUCACGUUGGGCUUGUCUUCUUCUUGAGGAUUGUAUAGGCCCAGGAAAUGCUUUGAGGUAGUUUUUGGCCUUGGAAGUUGGGACCCAACCCAACUUCACAAAAAGAAAACAGAUUUGCCAAAAAUCAAAUUUCAAGUCUCUCCUCAGAUCACUAAUACAGAUCAAAUUUUGGAUUUGAUGAACUAAAGUGGUUUUACUUUCUCUGUCAGUGUUUGAUGACUUAAUUUGUUAUUUACUUCUUUUUUUUUUUUUACUUGAUCUUUGUAGGGGUUUUUUUCUUCCGGUAACUUAAACGGGCUGGGCUGCCGUAAAGGGUAGAUUGAUGAAAUUGUCUCCUUUGUCUGAGUUCGAAAAUCAAGCCCCAAAAGCGCUUCGAAAGGGCAGUAGAGCCUUAGGAAGCGUUCUAGUCAUCUUCACCAACUAAAACAACAGCAACUUACAGAUGAUUUCUUAAGGCUUACAGAUAAAUUUUCUAGCUUGGCAUGAGAGGCUUGUGACAUGGAAGCAAAAUCAGCAUGAGUUUAGCACCAAAGAGGAAAAUAUGGCUUCCUAGGGAGAAAUGGGAGUGUUUAAGGUGAGGAAGAAGAGGUUUGCAGGCUGAUUUGGCUGAGGAGAGAGAAAGAAAGAACAAUGUUCUUCCAGUAGCUUGACAAAGCUUCUGACAGAUGUGAAAGUCGUCUGCCAUAAGAGGAAAAUGAAGAAGAAUGGUGAAUAGUGCAUGAAAUUGCUGGGUUUUUGCAGGUAAGAGAGAAAGCUUGCUCUCUGAAUUUGAGUUGGUUUUUGGUUGGGUAGAAGAGGCCCCCUUUUAUAGCUGCGGGAAACCAUCUUUUUUCAAGAAACCCUAAUGGUUUCUAUCCAUUUUGGCCAAGCUUUUCCCUUCAUUUCUCUUCUCCUCCCUUGACUUUUCCUAUCUUGGUGAAAUUUCCUCUGCCUAUUUGCACAAAAUUAGAGAUUUUGAGGAGCUCAAGACCCCUUUCCCGCAGCUGCCUCAGUGGAGAAUCCCCAUUUUCAGUCAUCUUUCUUCCUUCUUUUCUCCCAUCUUCCAAGGUUAGGUCUGAUGAGGGAAAGAAAUGGGUAUGCACACUGGUUUGAAGGGUAUUUUUGCUUGAAACUUGUUCUCUCCCAUGUGCUGGAGCUUCCCAGCAACUUACACACAUGGAUAUUUUGGCUUUCAUCGUGGCUUUUGUUUUCAGCUAGGUGCUGGAGAUUUCGCAGAUAUUUUCAUGAGUUGCUUGGGCCUUCUAGGACAAUAGGUUGGUUUAUCAAGUGAAUGGGCUAACUUCAUCAAUUGUUGGGCUAUUUUGGUUGAGUUAAUGGACUAUUUUGGUUGAAGUAAUGGGCUAUUUUGGUUGAAUUAAUGGGCUAUUUUUCUCUCUUUGUGCUCACCCACAUAUUUGGGCCUAAGAAAUGGGCUUGAGUUCCGGGGCUCCCAAGCAACCCCGGGACUUCCAUUUCUCGGCCCAUCAAUGGGCCUCAUAUCAACUUAUUACCAUCCAUAUCACAACCCACUCAAGCAAGCCCUGGGCAUCUUGCGUGGCUUGGGCCCACUUAAGCUUGUAGCGUGACGUGUUGCUUAUUUGCUUGGCAUGGCAUGUGUGCAAGCGCAUAUGACGAACUUUAGCGUGCCCAAAUUGGGUUUAUUCUCGGUAAGGUAUCGCAUUGGGCCGAGAAUUUAAUUGGGCAGAACUGUGGAUUUUUGGGCCUCAACAAUCUUAUAUAUAUUGGUUUUCUUUUUUUCCUUAAUAUUCACCACCUUUCUGUUGCAUAAGUAUUUCAGUCUUAACGGGUUUCCAUCUACCACUCAUCUUUGCUCUUUUAAGUGUAAGCUUUUUUUUUUUUUUUUUAAGCACAAGAUUAGAGGGGAGGGGGAUUUCUCAAUGUAAGCUUUGCAGUUUCAUAAUUAAUAUUUCCAAUAUCUCACUGUUAGUAAAAUAUGGAACAGGAAAAGUAUGAAUAAAAUACACACAUGUUUUAUUUAGCAAAAUUUUGACAAGAUACAACUGAAAAGUUUGGCCACUAUAUAAUAUUUUGAUAUAAUUUCUACACUUCUUCUCAAAAGAUUAGAUCACUUCACAUCUUGUGUAUGUGAAAACUAAUGUAAAAAGUUGAAACUUUAUCGUAAAACCUCGACAAAAAUGAGCUCUACUAGAAAAUGUUCAAUUUGGAUUCGUUGAUUUAAAUGGCAAUUUGACACUUGAUAGAAAUUUUUACAUACAUGUGUUAGUGUUUGAUCACUUCACAUGUUACUUACUAUAUUUAUUCCACUCAAGUUAGGUAAAUAUUAUUAUCAAACAUUUCAAUUAAUUUGUGAUUUUUUUAUUAUUUAAUCAAUUAUGAAUUAAUGGAUUCUUCUUGUUGUUUUGAAGACCAAUAAAAAAAAAAGGGUAAGGAUGGCUUAUAACUCUGAUAAAACAACAGUGACGUGGACAGCAGAUGUUACACCGUACUGAAGAUUUUUGAAGAUUCUUUAUUUGGGUUUCUUUCAAGAUGAAAACCAUAUUAUCCACAACCACAAUGAAGAAGACAGAAAAUGGAGUAAUUCAGAUGUUACCAGCCAUCCACGACAAACUGAAGUCUGCAAAGCAUUCGUAAUCUAAAGGGAGACUUUGGAAAAGCCCAAAGGAGAGAGAAAAUUUUUAAAAGAAGCAAAAAUGGACAAAAUUGCCCUUAUUUAUUUUUUGAUUUCCUAAGAAAUCCUUUACAUUUGCAUGUCUUUGGUUUGAAAGUUGAGAGGUUAUUCUGUCUUUUUUCAAAAAGCUUUGGCUUUUUCCAAAAGUGAAAGUUUUUUUAUGGGUAAAACCUAAAUUUACUUAAUCCCUAAAAAGGAUGGGGAGGCUGCGCAAUACUUAGCCACGUGUAGGCCAGGAGGCUUUCCAAUUUUAAUAUAUAUAUAAAUUGAAAAAAUAAAAUAAAAAUCAAUCUAUUAUCCUAUAUAAAAUAAAGAUUAUUGCUUCCAUGGGCAGUGCUAUGCACAGGACAGUGCCUGCCCAGCACAAAUUUUUUUUAAAUAAAAAAAAAAAAUCUACAUAUGUUAUAAGCUCAUCCAAAAAAAUAAAAUAAAAUAAAAGUAAAUUCUACAUAUAUGUUGCCCAUCUAGGUGGUUCCAUAUCUUCUCUCUCCUUCUCUUUUGGCUAUUAGACUUCUUGUUUCUCUCUCUCUCUUUGCUACCUCACAUCAGCAAGUUUCUCCCUCUCUUUUUUUGGGGUCAAAUUCUUCCUCUAUUGACAAAAUCUUCUAUUAUCUUGGGUGGGCAACUUGGCAACAACAUCUUCUCUUCUCCUUUUGUCAACAACAAGUAUUAUUCUCAUUCUCUCAUUUGCUAUAUAUCUUUAAUUAUAGUUUUAAUUUAAAAUUGAGUAUUCUAGGGUUUAAUUAGGGAUGAAUUAUAAUUUUAGAAUUUUGUUGAAAUUAAUUAAGGCUUCGAUUAGGGGUGAAUUAUUCUACUGCUUUGGUUUGGAAUUUUGUUAAAAUUGAGUAUUAUAGGGUUUAAUUAUGGAUGAAUUAUAAUUUUUGAUUUUGGUAUUAUUGAGAUGUUAUUAUGAGAAUUUGUUUCAUUUUUUUAUUGGUAUAUUUGAUUAAAAUUCUUUCUACAUAUUAUUCAUAGGCUAUCUUUUAUUAUGUCGGAUCACAAUCGGAAUCCCAAGAGAACAAAGAAUUUGAAUAGUGUUGUUUUGUAUUGCAUUGCAUUUACUUUUGGUUUUAGUUUUGCUUUUAGUGUAAAUUACUCAAAUGGUCCUCAAAUUUGUACCCGAUUUACAUUUUGGUCCAUAAACUAAAUUAUUCAUUCAAAUGGUGCACCAACUCUUUAUUAAUCAGUGCUUUGGUCCUACCGUUAUGUUUUCUAUUAAAUUUAGUCAUGUGAGCAGCACAUGCUACAUUUGUAGGGGUAAAUAAGACUUUUGACCACUUUAUCACCUAUGUAUCACCACUUUAUAACCUAUUUGGAGAACAUAGGUCAGUUAUGGACGGUUUUACAAUUAUAUUUGACGGCAACAUUAACAUAAUGUAACAGUGGGAUCAAUGGAGCGAUUAAUAUAGAGUUGAUGGACCGUUUGAACGAAUAAUUUAAUUGAGGGACCAAAACGUAAAUUGAGUAUAAGUUUGAGGACCAUUUGAGUAAUGUACCCUUCGCUUUUAUAUUUGUUGAACUUUUAUUUAUGGAUAGAUAUGCAUUUGAGGGUAAGACCCAUUAUGUUCCCCCUGACUUGGUGUAUCUUUUUAUGUUUAUUAAUGAAAUUCACUCGAACUGUUGAGUUUAGUAUGUAAGUUUUGCCUAACCGGCUUUUGAAUCCUAGAACCGCCACUGUUGCUCCAUCCUCCAUGCACUUGCAUGUGCUCUUACAAAGUGUGAAGUAGAUUUUGUGUGCUCCAAGUCAUUGACUAGAGCUGAAACAUGGUUAGCUAGAUUUAUAAGGACCCAUCUCUCUAUUUCCUAGACAUAUACCCAUCUCUCUAUAAAUCUAUAUGUAAAACUCAAUUUCAAACUUAAAUGACCAGUAAGAUAUAAGAGGUCAUAGUAUUCCUAUGUUUUUACAUCGUUGCCACCAGACUUCUUAUUUUAUUUAUAAUUUAUUUCAAGCAUUUCAUUAACUGCCAUAAUUGUAAUUAAUACUCCAUAUUAAUAGCAUAUCAAUCACCCCAUUUCUUUUGAUUGCCAUUCCCUCUAACAUAUCGCCCCUUAAAAUUGAAAACCAAAAAAAAAAAAAAUGUAAAUUACAUAUCCAAUAAUGUACCUAUGAAAAAUAUAAAUAUAAAUAUAUACGUAUAAAAAUAUAGGUUUAUUAUUUACCAAAUAAAAAAUAUAAAAAAACUAGGUCAGUUGCUUUGUAAUUGAAAUUUCUAUACAUUUUCCACAAAUUAAAAAUAGGUACACAAUAAUUUAUAGAAAAUAUAGGUGCAUUAUUUAUCCAUAGGUAAAAAUACCUAUAAAUGCACAUAGGUAAAUUAUUUACCCAUAUAUUAUUUUUUUGCUAAGGAUUUACCUUAGUUUUUAGUAGAUUAAUUUACCUACCUAGAGGCAUAGGUAGCUUAAAAAAAUUGUAGCACCUUAGUUGGUUGCAUACUAAUUUACCUACCUAGAGGCAUAGGUUGCUAAGAAAAAAUGUAGGUAAAUUCAUGUACCUAAACACAUAGGGGUCAAAUAGAGAAUAACAUGUUAUUUCCCUUCGAACAAAUUAAUUUCAAACCAUAACAAUAAUUGAAUUCGGAAAUUGGUAUAAAUAAAAGGAAAUAAAUAAGCUAUCAAUUUGAAAAUUAAAAUAAGAAAUGAUCAAGUAGUCAUAUUUGAAAAAAAAGAAAAGAAUAUAUUCUUGGUUUUUAUAGGAACAACGUGUAUAUUCAAACCAAAUGGCAGUAACUACACCAAGCUUUAAUUACUUUUUUUUAAGGCCAAAAGUCACUUUUGGUCUCUGUAGUUUGACACUUCUAUUACUUUUGACGCUGUAGUUUCAAUUCCGUCAAUUUUGCCAUUGUAGUUUCAUAUUUGUAGCAAUUCAAGGACAUGUUAAUAUUAAUGUCAAUUUGUUUAAUGAUGCAAGGGGUAAUUUCGUCAUCCCAAAAUCCUUGAGCAUAAAAGCUUGUCUGAAAUUCUCCCCAUUUCAUAUUAGGGCUCGAAAUUCAACCACUAAUCCCAAUUUUUGAAGAACCCUAUACCCAAAUGACCAAUUUCAAGCCCUAAUAACAAAUUAGGGAAGUUUUAGAUGAGCUUUUAUGCUCAAGGAUUUUGAGUUGAAGAAAUUGCCCCUUGCACUGUCAAAGAAAUUGAUAGGAAUACUGACUUGUCCUUGAAUUGCUACAAAUACAAAAAUACAGGGUCAAAAUUAACAGAAUUUAAACUAUAUGGUCAAAAGUGGUUAAAGUGCCAAACUACAAGGACCAAAAGUGACUUUUAGCCUUUUUGUUUAAAUAAGGAAAAAACUUACCUAUUAAAUCCUUGGAAUCUAUACAAAAUUGAAACACAGUUAAUCAGCAUUGAAUUGCAGCUAAUUUCUUAAACAAGGGUAUUAUAGGAAUUUAAAAAGUAUAACAUUUAAUCCAUUGAGCUUGAUUAGGAAUCUUGAUGAGUUGGAUCCUAGUUAUAUAGUUUCUCUUAUAAAAAUCGGGUUUUAUUUAUAGACAAAUAAAACAAUGGGUUGUAGGUAAGAAAAUAUUAAUUUGAAGGGAAAGUGUCACAUCCUGGGAUCGGCUCCGCCGUAGCACGAUAUUGUCCGCUUUGGGCCCCCCUCUCUGCCCGCACGGUUUUGUUUCUGGGAGCUCACGAGCAACUUCCCAGUGGGUCACCCAUCCUGGGAUUGCUCUGGCCCCCAACUCGCUUAACUUCGGAAUUCCUAUGACUCCGAAGCCAGUGAGCUCCCAAAAGGCCUCGUGCUAGAUGGAUGCGGGUGUGUACAUAUAAGACACAUCACCCCCUCUCCGUUGGUUGAUGUGGGAUCUUACAGAAAGAGUCAAAUUUACUAAAUUAAUAAAGCAUAAAUUGGAAAGGGAAAAGAUCUAGAGGAUGCAUUGUAGGAUUGCUCAUGCCAAUAAUUGCACCCUCUCGAUAUUGAAAAACCUAUUGUGUAUUAUUAUCUUCAAUCAUGAAUGAUGCACCUAAAACCCAAGUGUCCCAAGCCAACCAUUGCGCUCAUACCACUUGUUGCAGUACACAUUCACCCGUUUUUAAAGAAAGAAAUUCUACCAAUCGAUAUUGUCUCAAAUUUAAUCACAUAGGUCUAUUAUGGUUAACCAUAUGUACUUUUAUCGGCCAUAUAGAGGUACCUUUUUCCAACGUGCAACAAUUGUAUUUGAUUCACAAUUAUGUCUGAUAUACAUCACAUCAUGCCACUUGCCUCAAAUGAAUUUAAUUGAGUGAGGCAAUGGGAAGUAAUUAAGCUCUAUAUUGGUGGGUGGAGUGUUACUUCUGGAACCCUCAUCAUUCGUCCAUACAAGGGAACAAUUCCCUUCCUUCUAUAAAAUGGUGAAGCCAGUUGCUAUUGUUUGUUAGAGUUUUAGGAUCUGAGUGUUAGAUUUUGUGAGAAGAGAGAAGAGAAUUUAGUGAAAACUUCCAAUACUGCUCUGCUAUACGUGUAGCAGAGAGAACAUUCUGUUUUGUUAUAUAUUUUCAGUACAACAACACACACUUGGUGUGAGAAGAAAAAUGACUGUUAUGCACAGUACCAGCUGGAUGCUUUCCAUCAAAGUAAUCUCAGCCAUUCACUAUCUAACCAAUCAAGCUAUGACACCUGGACUAAGUAUAAAGAAAUACAACUAAGCAGAAAACAAGACUCUUAAUCCUGAAAUCAACUUAAGCACUUAUAAUUCAACACUCCCCUUUAAGUCUUGAGGUGAUUUCACUCCAAGCAUGCCUCUGAGAUAAUUGAAUCUGUCUUUGGCCAGAGGUUUGGUAAAAAUGUCAGCCAAUUGUUCAUUUGUAGGACAAUAUUCCAGAUUGAUUACCCCUUCUUGCAAUGCAUCCUUGAUGAAGUGAUACCUCCUGUCAAUAUGCUUUGUCUUCUGGUGGAAUACAGGGUUUUUAGUGAUUGCAAUUGCUGAGAUAUUAUCACAAUGCAAUGGAGUAGCUUCAGUUUGAAGCUCUCUAAAGUCUUCUAGCACAAAACGGAGCCAAAUAGCUUGAGUAGUAGCCUCAGCUGCACUGAUGUACUCAGCUUCUGCAGUAGACAGUGCAACACAGUUCUGUUUCACUGAGGCCCAAGAAAAUACUCCACUUCCAAAACUAAACGCAUACCCUGAUGUGCUCUUGCAAUCACCAACUGAUCCUCCCCAAUCACUGUCACAGUAACCAACUAGAAUUGAUCUUUUGCCUUUCACAUAUUCAAGACCAUAGUCCAGAGUUCCUUUGAUGUAUCUCAAAACCCUUUUAGCUGUUCCAUAGUGUCUAUUUGUAGGACAGUGCAUGAAUCUAGCUAGCAAGCUUGAGGCAUACAUGAUGUCUGGUCUUGUAGCAGUUAAGUACAGCAAGCUACCAACAAUGCUUCUGUAUUGUUCUUCAUUUGCAGCUCAACUCCCAUCAUCCUUAGCUAGUUUCUCAGUGGCAACAAGGGGUGUUGUCACAGGUUUGCACUCAGUCAAACCAAACUUGCUCAACAAGGUGCUAGCAUAUUUCUUUUGAUGUAGAAAUAUACUAGACUCAGUCUGAAUAACUCCCAUGCCAAGAAAGUGAUGAAGUAAGCCCAAAUCAGUCAUCUCAUACUUAGCCAUCAUGUCUUCUUUGAAUUCAGCCAACAAUGCUUGACUGCUCCCUGUAUACACAAUAUCGUCUACAUAGAUAGACACAAUUAGAAUCUCCUUAUCUCCCCUUACUUUGGUAUAUAAGGUUGUUUCACUUAAGCUUUUCACAAAACCACAUUGAGUGAAGUAGCUGUCUAUCUCUCCAUACCAAGCCCUUGGGGCUUGCUUCAGACCAUAAAGGGCUUUAUGCAAACGAUAAACCUUGUCUUCUUUACCUUUAAUUACAAAACCUUCAGGCUGACUGACAUAAACUUCCUCUUGCAGCACACCAUUAAGGAAAGCAGACUUCACAUCAAGCUGGAACAAUUUCCAAUCCUUUUGAGCAGCUAGAGCAAUAAGUGUUCUAAUGGUGUCCAAUCUGGCUAUAGGUGCAUAAGUCUCAUUAUAAUCCAGUCCAGGCUUCUGAGCAUACCCCUUAGCCACUAAUCUUGCUUUAUUCUUUUGCACUGAGCCAUCCAAAUUCAGCUUUGUCUUGUACACCCACUUAACUCCAAUCACUGGUUUUUCAGUUAGUCUAUCUACCAAUUCCCAUGUUUCAUUCUUUUCAAUCAUCUGCAGUUCAUCUUCCAUAGCCUUAAGCCAAGAUUCAUCCUGAGCAACAUCAGCAUAUUUUUCUGGUUCCAUGAUACACAAGUUACACUGAGCUAGAACAUCAUCUAGCCUUCUCCAUUUUAGAGGGGUGUGAUCAUAAGCUUGAGUUCUCCUUUCUUCACUGCUUAUAUCACCUGGAGUUGAUGAAAUGCUCUCUUGCAUAUCCAAAGUUUGAGGUGUACCAGUAGAAUUCUCAUUAGAACUGUCAGAUUUCAAGUCCAAAUCAACUUGGUUUUCAAUUGAGUAUGUUGUCAUAACUGAACCAUUUUUGUUUGUCCAAUGCCAAGCAUUUUCUUCAUCAAAUGUCACAUCCCUUGAUAGUAAAAGCUUGUUAGAAACAGGAUCAAAAACUCUAUAUCCUUUUUCACAAGUUGCAUAUCCCACAAACACUCCCUUUGUACUCUUAGGAUCCCGCUUGUGUCUCAAUUCAGUUGGCACAUGAACAUAACACAGAGAACCAAACACUUUCAGAUGUGCAAUUCCAGGCUUCCUUCCACUAUAUGCUUCGAAUGGAGUAAUGUUGUUGAGAGCUUUGGUAGGACAUCUGUUCAGCAAAUAGAUAGCUGUAUGCACAGCUUCUGCCCAUAGGAAAUAAGGCAUUCCCUUCUCAUGUAACAUUGAUUUUGCCAUCUCAAUGACAGUUCUAUUCUUCCUCUCAACUACUCCAUUCUGCUGAGGAGUAUAGGCCAUUGUAAGCUGCCUUUGAAUGCCAUUAGCUUCACAAAACUCCAAAAAAUCAGUAGACAUAAACUCUCCACCCCUGUCACUUCUUAUGCACUGAACCUUGUGUCCAGUUUGUAAUUCAGUCAUGGACUUGAACUUCUUGAAACAAAAGAAGGCUUUUGACUUGUUUCUCAAGAAGUAUACCCAAAUCAUUCUUGUGAAAUCAUCUAUAAUCAGCAUGAAAUAUCUGUUCCUUGCAACAGACUCAUUUCUCAUGGGACCACAGAGAUCCACAUGUAUUAGCACUAGUACUUUGCUUGCUCUUUGAGCUUGAUCUUUUGGAAAAACAUUUCUGUGCUGUUUUCCAAAUUGGCACCCGUCACACACACCACUUUGUUCUUCCAAUUUUGGUAAACCAUGUACCAUUUCUUUAUCACUUAGCUGCUUCAAUCCUCCAAAAUGCAGAUGACCAAAUCUCUUGUGCCAAAUCCAUGUGGAUUGAAGAAAACUAGUCUUCAUUAGUAACUGUUUUUCAGCUAGAAAAGAGACAGGAUAGCAUCUGUUACUCUUCAUUUGCACCUUUAUGAUGAGAUAAUCCAUGGAUGGGCUAUCAAAUACCCUGCACAUCCCUUCUCCAAACACUAGACAGUACCCAUGUUCAUCCAUCUGCCCAACACUUAGCAGAUUUUCUUUCAAUCCUGGCAGAUACAUUACUUCUCUGAUGUAUUUCCUGCCCUUUGCUGUAUCAAUACUCAGUGAGCCAAUACCAGCUACACUCACUAAUGCACCAGUUGGCAUUUGUACUCUCCCAGCUACAUUAGUUCUCACAUCAACCAGCAAAUCUAAAUUUCCUGUCAUAUGAUUGCUGCAGCCACUGUCAAUGUACCAUUCAUUGGUUUUGAUCUCAGUGGUUGAGCAAUUGGCAUAAAACAGGUUUCCUGUAACCUCCAUUUGAUUUACACAAUUAGCCUUCUGCACAUUUUUGCUCACUGUACAGUCUCUAGCAAGAUGUCCAACUCUGUCACAGUUAUAGCAUUUUGGUUUUCCCUUAUACCUGCACUCACCAAAAUGAUGCUUUGAACACACCUUGCAUUGAGGCUUUGUGUUUUCCUGAUUUGAGAACUGUGUUGAAGUGUGGUUCUGUGCAGAAUAAUUAUUCUGCUGUGUCUUGUCUUUUGCCUCCCAUGACUUCCCUUUAGAGUUCCAGCUUCUCUGUGACUUAGAUGAACCAGACUGAGAAGCAUUUUUGUUCUGACCCUUUGAAUUCACAGUGAAUGAGGCAAAUGCCUUCUCAGCUGUAUCAACACUAUGCAUUUCAAGCCUUUGCUCCCGACUCUUCAAAAUGGCAGUUACUUCCUGCAAAUCCACAGUUUCUAGUGUCUUUGUGUUUUCAAUCACAAUGCAUAUAGGGUCAUACUUCUUACUUAGACUAAUUAACACCUUCUGAACCUACCUCUCAUUUGACAGAACUUCACCAAAUGUUUUCAUUUGGUUAAUCAAUUCAGUUAGUCUAGUAAGAUAUUCAGAUAAGGUUUCACUAUCACGCAUCCUACUGUAUUCAAACUCACGUCUAAGGUUUUGAAGCUUUACCGAUCUAACAUGCUCUCCACCAUGAUAUUCUGAGUACAGCAGAUUCCAAGCCAUCUUUGCAGAGUCAGCAUUGGCAAUUCUGGGAAAAAUCUGAUCAGAAACAGCAUUUUGAAUGAUACCCAAGGCCUUCGCAUCCUUCAUGAGAAUCGCAGCUGUUUUCUCAUCAACUUCUUCUUCUGAACCAUCCUCAGAUUCCUGCUUCGUCUUUGAAUCUGGGAUUAAAAACCCCUUCUCUACCAAACCCCAUAAACCAUAUGAUCUGAAUAUGGUUACCAUCUUAAUCCUCCAAAAUUCAUAGUUCUCACCUGAGAAAAUGGGGAUUCUAGCCUCUGAACUUCCAGAUCCAGCCAUUACGAAUUUCAGAUUCGCCUGGAAACAAGAUGUUUUCAGAUUUGACCCUUGAUCGAGCUCAAUCAGCUUCGUGAGCUUAGAAUGAGCUCACCUCGAUCGAUUUUCUUCACAGAACAACGCCCAGCUUCAGAUAAUCAAACUUGGCUCUGAGGCCAUGUUAGAGUUUUAGGAUCUGAGUGUUAGAUAUUGUGAGAAGAGAGAAGAGAAUUUAGUGAAAAUUUCCAAUACUGCUCUGCUAUACGUGUAGCAGAGAGAACAUUCUCUUUUGCUAUAUAUUUUCAGUACAACAACACACACUUGGUGUGAGAAGAAAAAUGACUGUUAUGCACAGUACCAGCUGGAUGCUUUCCAUCAAAGUAAUCUCAGCCAUUCACUAUCUAACCAAUCAAGCUAUGACACCUGGACUAAGUAUAAAGAAAUACAACUAAGCAGAAAACAAGACUCUUAAUCCUGAAAUCAACUUAAGCACUUAUAAUUCAACAUUGUUACCAUAAGAGCCAGCUCCGACUUUCUUUAAUUUCAGUCCUAACGGGGUUUCAUCUUCCACUCAUCUUUGCUCUUCUCAGUGUAAGCUCUGCAAUUUGAUUAACUUUCCCAUUAUCUCUCACUGUACUCUAUAUAAAGGAAUAAGUGUCGUCCACUAAUUAAUUACACUUUGUGAGAUUUGAUUUUAAUUAGAGUUCGAAUUGAUGUUGCAGCUAGCAGCGGUGGCACUGGCAAACCAUGCUGCUCAACCAGCACCUCAACUUUACUGGAACUCCGUCCUGCCAAACACACAAAUGCCAAGAGCUAUCAGUGAACUUCUGCAUCCUGGUUUGUGUUGAAUAAAUAUAGUAUGUUACUGGAGUACGUAUGGCAACAUAUUCACAAAUGUGUCACGUAUUUUCCAAUAUGACGUUGAUAUAUAAUUGCAGACUCCACAAACGAAGAAAAGAGCACAAAUGUCAUGAAUGCUGUUGGGAAUGGAAAGCCAAUUGACCACAAGGGCAACCUGAAAAUACUGUACUACCACAGCUUGCACGACGCCCAUUUUCUUACAAGAGUGAUGAUCGUCCCACUGACAAUCAACUCCAUUAUAAAAACGUAGCUAUUUUCUUCUUGGAGAAGGACAUGCGCCCUGGCACAACAAUGAGCUUCCAAUUCCCUAGAAAUUCAAACACGGCUACUUUCCUGCCACCAGAAAGAGCUCAAUCGAUCCCCUUCUCCUCUAACAAACUACCAGAAAUUUUCAACCAUUUUUCAGUGAAGCCAACAUCUGUGGAAGCCAAAACAAUUAAGCAAACAAUCGAAGAGUGUGAGGCUCCAGGCAUUAAGGGAGAGGAAAUAUAUUGCGCCACAUCUUUAGAAUCAAUGGUUGAUUUUAGCACUUCGAAUUUUCGAACAAGAAACGUUCAAGCAAUCUCGACAGAGGUAUUGGAAAAAGGUGCCACCAUGUCCAUGCACAAGCAUACAACAAUGCCGGGACUGAAGAAGUUGGCAGGUGACAAAGUCGUUGUGUGUCAUAAGCAGAACUAUCCCUAUGCUGUGUUUUACUGCCAUGUAAUAAAACCAACAGCAGCUUAUGUUCUCUCCCUGAAAGGCGAUGAUGGGGUGAAGAUUAAAGCAGUAGCCAUCUGCCAUCUAGACACAUCAGAAUGGAACCCAAAGCAUUUGGCCUUCCAAAUCCUCAAAGUUAAGCCCGGAACAAUUCCCAUCUGCCAUUUCCUUCCCACUGAUCAUAGUGUCUGGGUUCCGAACCACAAAUCUGCAUGAUCAUCACUUAGCACUGUACGUAUAAUAAGCUUGCACCCCUGUAUAAUUAUCUCCCUACUCUACUUAUUUCUGCCUCUUCAUGUGGUGUAAGAUAUAUGAUGAGAUGAAGUUUUUGGGAUUAGUGGUCGGGUUGCCUUAAAAACACAGAUUACAGAAACUGCUUGAACUUAACCCGAUCAUGUUUUCUCUUGUACUCGUAAAGCAUGCUGUUGUGGUUCUACUUAAUUUCGUUCUCCCCAAUGUUUGAGUGUUUAAUUGUUACGUUGGAUAAUGCUUGUAGUUAGAGAAGCCUUCAUUUAUAUCAAAGUCCUCAACUUGUAAAGAUAUCAAUGGUCCUAGUGCUGCCACGUGUAAGAAGAUUGAAGAAUAAAGCUGUUGAGAUAUUGUUAGACCUGUUAUGCAGUUUAGGAAAACUGUUAGUAUUGAUAAGAGAAGGUUAGAGAUGUUAGAGAGGUUAGAAAACACGUGAACAAGGCUUUAACUCAGCUGAUAUAAAGUCUGUAGUUGUGCUCAGUUGAACUUAAUGAGAAAUACAACAAGUCUCUUCUCUAUCUCUGAAAUUCUCUCUGCUCUCUCUGCUUUACUUCUUUUGUCUCUGCUCUACAUUUUUUUUCAAUCUUCCUAUCUUAACAAAACUAUCAAGAAUUAAUGCAUCCAGAAACAUAUAUACCAAGACGCAAAACAACAUAUUUUUCAUGCUCUGUCUGUAACACCAAAGCAAACUUCCUUUAUCACAAAAGGAUCAAAUUCCAGUACUAAUCUAAUCCAUCAUGUAAAGCAUACAAUCUACAAGUGCCUCCCUUAAUUUGUCCAUUGGAUAUAUAUGUCACUUUUUGGUAAUUUGGUAUAGCAGCACCACGUAGUCUUGAAAUAGUAGUGCGGCUAUACCAAAUAUACCAUUUGCCCCUGCAUUUAACAGAAAAGUAAACAAAAUUGACGGUAGAACUAUUUGUCCUAACGAAACUGCAGUUGAAAGACCAUGAGAACGAUUUUGAAAAUUGAGGGACUCAAAUGAAAAUUGGGUCUAAGUUCAAGAACCAAUAAAACGAUUAACCCAUAGAUUUUGGAUCCAGUACCACAUCCCAAAGAGAAAACCACAAGUUUGCAAGCAAGUUUGUCCAUAAUAACACUACGUACAGUAUGGGCAGUGCGCUAGACUCAUCUCACUUUCUCAACCUAUCCUAUAGUUGUCUAAAAGAGUUUCUAAUUUAAUGUACUGAGAUUUACGAAAGAAAUAUCAGAGAAACAAUUUUCAGGCAAUAAAAAAAUGUCUUGGCAAGAAAAUGUACAAUUUGUUACAUAACUUAUUAAAUAUGAACAGUUGAAAGAAAAAAGAAUCUGGAUGAGGGAUUUGCAAAUUCCUAUGGCCCAAUUACCUUUUUUUCUUUGUUGUUUUUUUUUUUUUUUUUUUGGUUCUUUUGAUCCAGUAGCAUAUUCCAAAGAAUGAAAACCACAGGCAUGCAAUGCAAGCUCUUUUCCCACGUUUUCCUCUGUUUUUCUCCUAUCAUGGAAGUGAUUAAAACACACCUCUAAGCUUGUUUUGCGUUUGGUAGCCGAGUGUAAAAGCUCAAUGCAAGAUAGUUUGAGGUAGAAUUUUCUCCUAUUUUAUUAGGACAAUGAUAAUUAAAAAAAAGUGUGAUUCAUUGAAUAUUUGCGGGGUUUUGUUCAGACCUGACAAAGUUCUAAGUCAACACAUCAAAUUCCUUUUUCCAACAUGCAACAAUUGUAUUUGAUUCCCAAUUUUUUCUGAUAUACAUCACAUCAUGCCACUUGCAUCAAAUGAAUUUAAUUGAGUGAGGCAAUGGGAAGUAAUUAAGCUCUGUAUUCGUGGGUGGAGUGUUACUUCUGGAACCCUAAUAAUUCGUCCCUACAGGACUCUAGAACUCUCAAACUUCUUACAAGGACUACUUAACUCUAUAGCUUAAUGCAUAUAGCAUAUAUAUGCAAACACAAUUAGAAAUUCUACAACAGAAGCAAGAUCAAUCUCACUAUGCCUUCUAAACAAACAAACAAAUAAAACAAGCAUAUUAAUUGCUUUAAUCACUCUACUAACAUCAACACAGCACACUUAGUUUACUAACAGAUGAUAUAGAAAGGAAAAAAAAGGACCAAUAGGGAGAAAAUGGUGAACUAAGGAGAGACUAAUACUUCUGGUCCUUAGAAGGCAUAACAGAAAUAAUAGAGCACACUGCUUGAAUGCAAGUCAGUAUUAGGAGCAAAACAGCUGCAAUGAAAGAAAUAGUUGCCCAAGGUGUAUUGAAAUAAUGUUGCCUCAAAUUUGCCUUCCAUUUGUUCCAAGGCUUUCUGCAGUAGCUAUUAAGGCGCUCAGAAAGAAUAGCAAAGUAGAAGCUUUCACGAUACACUGCAAUUCCUUUUCCGAGGUUGUUAAUCAGAGUGCACACCUCAUUGUAGUCACCAAGCAUAUUUUUGACAAUCCCAUCCUUCAGAAGGAACUCCACAUCCUUUUCGGUGUUCACAAACUCAUCCAUGAGUGAAACAUAAUCACUUAUGUAAUUCUUACGGCAAUGGCACUAUUCAAAGGCAAUGAGGUUACGGAGUGUGAGCUCUGUGUAAUCGUGUAUUUUUAGUUUUGGAAUUUCUAGAAUCCCAUCGUUGAAUUGUGUUAACGCAGCUUUCCUUUCCUAGCCUACACGGAAGUCAACUUCACAAUCUCCUCCUAGCAAUUAGUCUUUCCUGCUGUAAAUCAGAUUUCCUACUGUAAAUCGGAUUGUAUUCAUGUCUAUAUUAUUUCCUACUUUAAGUAGAUAUCUUGUACUAGUAUAAAUAGGGACUUUGUGUAAUCUGUUAAAUACAAGGAAAUAUAUACUCUGCAUGGUAUCAGCCUAACCUAGGGUUCUCUCUCUCUCCCUUAUUCGAUCCUCUUCUCCUUUAGGUCCACCUCAUGGCUUUGUCUGAAUCCACCAUCUCCCUCCCAAGCCCCAACUCUUCUAUUUUAUCAAGCUUAUUGACUCCAACUAUCUUCUUUGGCUCCGCCAACUCAAACCCUUUUUAGUCGGCCAUGACCUCUGGAAAUUUAUCGAUGGCAUUCAUAAACAACCUUCUGCCCACACCUCCACCUCUACCACCGCAACACCCACAACCACCACCACUCUUACCCAAAUCAAUCAUGCCCAUGCUCAGUGGUACCAACAAGACCAACUCAUUGUUAGCUACAUCACCAAUACACUCUCUGAGUCCAUUCUCUUUCUCACUGUUGGUUGCACCUCUGCCCGGGAUCUCUGGGAGUGUCUCCAACGCCACUUCUCUCAAUCCAGUAUGGCCAGUGAAUCUACUCUUCGUUUUAAACUCAUGGAUUUGCAAAAAGGCUCUGAACCCACUUAUGCUUACAUUCGUCAUGCUAAGUCCUUUGCCGAUUCACUGGCUGCCAUCAAUGAACCUGUCUCCCCAAAAGAACUUGUCACUACUGUGCUUUGGGGUUUAAGACCCUAUUGCAACAUCCUCGUCACAGCAAUUCUCAAUUUCCCUCUGCUUCCUAACUUUGCUAAUCUUCGUGCUCGUUUGUUAGCAUUUGACGCACAGACUCCUUGAAUCUCUCCUGAUCAAAACACAGCGCAAAUGGCCACCCAAUCCUCUCCUCACACCACCGGUCAUACUUCCUUCCCUUCUCACCGUGGUGGUGGCUCUUCCAACAACAGGCGUGGUGGCCUCGGUGGCUGGCGCAAUAGCGGCCGGGGUGGCUGGCGCAGCUUCUCAUCUUCCUGGAGCAACCCGUGGAAUGGCUUCCAGCAGCUCCAAUGACCUAAUCAACCAUGGCCUCCUUUUGCUCCAAGUUCUGGAUCUCAAAGCAACUGGCCUUCCUUUCAGCCUCCUUGGGCCUAAUCUGCCGCUUCUAUCAAACACUUUGCCCGGCCCAACUCAGCUCCUGGUGUCUUGGGACCCGCUUGGUGCACUACCUGCAAUACCAAUCACAUACUACUACAAUAUGUCCUCAUCGCUACAAUGGCCCAGAAUCCUUUCUUUGCUAGGGCUCAAUUCAUGUAGCCACCUGACUCUACUUGGUACCCUGACACAAGUACCACUCAUCAUAUGAUUGGUAGUCCUUCUAAUCUCCAAAAUCAAUCCUUCUAAUCUCCAAAAUCAACAGCCAUAUCAGGUUCAUAAUUCUGUAUUUCUUGGUAAUGGAGAUUCUCUCCCUAUCUCUCAUACUAGCUCUCUCUUUUGUCUUCCAUCUCUUCGUACUAAUCUUCUUUUUGUUGCCCAUUUUACUUGUGAUAAUUUAGUUUUCUUUGUCUUUACUCUUGACUUUUAUCAAAUCUAUGACUUAUGUACUGGUUCGUUACUCUUUCAGGGCCCUUCUAAAGAUGGUCUUUACCCACUUUCCAUCUCCUCUCACUCAUCCAUAGUCCCCCAUGCCCUUACCACCGUGCACUCUCCUGCUUGGCAUCAUUGCCUUGGCCAUCCAUUCCAUCGUGUGCUCUCUCAUUUAGCGCCAUCUCUAGGCUUUAAAGUUUCUCAUGCUUUCUGUAAGGAUUGUGCACUUAGCAAAUCCACCAAACUGUCAUUUCUUAGUAAUAAAACCUUUGCCCCAUCUCCCUUUUAUUUAAUUCACUCUGAUGUAUGGAUGUCCUCGGUCAUUUCUGUCACUGGUUAUCGCUAUUAUGUCUUGUUUACAGAUGACUUUUCUCGUUACUCCUGGAUCUAUCAUAUGCACCGUAAAAAUGAGGUCUUUUCUCACUUUCAAACCUUUCUUGCUAUGGUUAAAAAUCAAUUUCACACCACUGUACAAAUUCUUUAAAGUGACAAUGGCACUGAAUAUGUUAAUAAUGCUUUCUCUGAUCUUUGCAGUCAACUAGGCAUCCACCAACGUUUCACAUGUCCCCACACUCCCCAACAAAAUGGCCUAGCUGAACAUAAACACAGACACAUUGCCACCAUGAUCUGUCCCCGGUCAUUUAUUCAACCAUCUUGACCUUUUGCUUGAUCAUUUUCCACAAGCAACCGUCCACGUACCCCAAUAAUUUAAAAGGGCUGAUGAUCUUUAAUUUGGUGAAAGCUUCUAUCUACCUACCGUGCUAUAUAUGAGCUAUGCAAUCGUGACCGUGUUACAUGACGUCCCAAUGUCGUAGGGAUAAAAAAAUAAUAGUCAUGGUUUUCUUAUUAAUGUCAAUACAUUCAUAGCAAAGAGCUUGUAGCUCUAGUGGUUAAGAGCAAUUACCCAUGCACUUGAGAUAUUUUGUGUUUAAAUCCCCUCUUCCCCAAUAUUUCUUGUAUAAAAAUAAAAAUAACAAUAAUAAUGACAUUAAUGUUGUAUUCUAUAAAGUGUUGGACAUGUUUUAUACCCCUUUCUUGCAAAUUACAGUUUGCCACGUGUACAAAAAUAAUAGAUAAGUGUUGGACAUCAAGAGCACUUACAUAUAGGUUUAAUAGGUAAGUUUUGAAUAUUUCUGUAUUUAGCUUUAAAUAUUGAAAAUCAACCUAUUAGCAUAUUAAAGAUUUGUCCAUAUUCGACGUACAUUCUCUUAUUUUUCUCUCAUUGAAGUAAAUACAAAACUAAGCACAUAGUGGGAAAGUGCGUCACGAUUAGGGGUGGGUUUAGUCUAGGUUGGUUCAUUUUUGGGCUCAAUUUGAACACCGAACUGUAAGCUUCGGUUUGGCUAUUUUGGAAACCGAAACCAAACCAUAAUUGAUGAAAACCGACCACUUCGAUUACCUUCUGGUCUUCCAACCAGAAGAAAACUCAAAACUUUAACCAUACCAAGUGCAACAGAAUUACACCAGGCUGGAUUCAAGUUUAUGAUGGUUAAAGAUAAAAACUUAUUUGACAUACAAUUUGAGAAUGGAAUCCUCAAAAUUCCACACCUGCGAAUACGGGGUUUAACAGAAAUUUUCUUCCGCAAUCUUAUUGCCUAUGAGCAGUGUGAGCUUCAUGAUCAUUACAUCAACGACUAUGUCUUCAUCAUGGACCGCCUGGUCGACAGUGCCAGGGAUGUGGAAUUGCUUGUGAAGAGUGGAAUUCUUGAAUCUAUGCUACCGGACAGCGAGGCAGCAGGGGAAUUUAUUAAUUCUCUUGACUUGGGGCCUAUUUUAGGCAAGCUUGAAACAAGACUAUUUCAGUUCACCAUGGGCUGGCCUGUCUAUUAUUGUAGCCGCUAUACUAGUUGUGCUCACAUUUAUUCAAACAGUGUGCUCCGUAAUGGCGCUGUAGGUUCUUCAUUUCCUCAAUUUCAUGUUUAGUGGUUGCAGAUUUGUUGCUCAUGUACGUGUUUAUCUAAAGUUAAAUAAGAGUGAUUGACUGGAUUGACUGUUAGUCUGUUAGUUUGUUUUUCUGGGGUUUUUCCCCCCUGUUCGUCAAAAAAAAAAAUAAAAGAGUGAUGGCUUGUGCCUAUGAAAAUUACUUAGGAGUAUGCUCCACAGAGCCAAAAUAAAUAAACUAGGGAAGUGGAGGUUCUUCUGUUUGUAUAUAAAUGAGCAAUUCAAACUCUCAGUGCCAAGGGAGUUACCCUUGAUACAUUUGUUAAAAAUUAUAUAUUUGGUCUUACAUCAAACAAAUAAUUUGAAGGGCUUUUUUGACAACUGCUGACAGCGUUUGGCAGAAAAGUUUAGAAGCGCUUCUACGCUUCUAGAUCAUAAAAGUGCUUUACCAAAAAGCACUUAGAUUUCUUAUGAAAAUUUCAACAUUUUUAUAAUAAAAGCGCUUGCUAGAAGCACUUAUAAGCAGAAGUGCUUCAUAGAGAAGCAGUCCCAAACGAGCUUGAUUUUCAAAUGUGCUGCUUAAGAAGAAAUUUAAUACGUUUUGAAAACAAAAAAAAAUACGAAAUUUAAUACGUUUGUUUUACAAAUUGUAUUAAUUGUUAUCAAUAAUACUUGUGCACACCCACAACAUACUUCUUUCUUUCUUUAUUUUCCUUCAGUACAGUUCUGCCUUUCUUUAAUUAUUUUUAACGAAUGCAAAGAGUUUGUCACAAAAUCAAGGAUUGAAAAAAAAAGAGAGUAAAUUAUGUGCUAGAGAAACUUUCCUGCAGAAAUUGAAGAACAACUCUAGUUUCUCUCUUUCGCCUUGUACUCCCGCACUGAGGUUAGUAUUGUUAUAAUGUGCAGAUUAUACGGUCACUCUUGUAUAAUGGCGAGAAGGCUCUAAUUAUAUUUUUGAACCUCUUUGACAGGACCCGCCCCGAAUUUCCCGAAACCCAAGACGAAUUCUGUGGAAAUUCCCUACAUCACCCCGAUGUUGGGCCCACUUCUAAAACUAUAUCAUUUUUCCUAAAAAGGAAUAAGGGCACGAGACUUUCUACCGAAAUUUCGGCAGAGUCUCUCCUGUAAAUUGAACAUUUCCCAAAAUUUCAACCUGCAUAAAACACAUUUUAUAUUACCCAACUGGCAGCAUGCACAAAAUAAUAACAUGCAAUUCACAUAAACGGCCUCUGGCCCUCCGGUAAUUCAGAGCAAUGCAAACUAGCAACUCUAAACCUAAUAAAACAACAUAAGUAACAUUUAGCCAGCGGCUGCACCCAGGCACUACCCUAGGCUACCUACGUACCCUUACUAAGGGAUCAAGCCACACGUAGUUCUUUCAUACAAAAUUUCCAAAUCCAUCAACAUGCAAUCAAUUACAGAAUCCCAAACAAAAUCUUUCUCAAACAUCAUUAGUUCCCAACUCAGUAUAAUAAUCCUUAAUUCAUCUCUGUAAUAAUCACAAUAUCUCCCCAUACGCCGGAACUACCAACACCACGUAUGGAGCCUGCCUGUACGCCAGAUAACCAACGACACGUGGGACCUCAUCAUCAUAUCACAUAAUCUCCCCAUACGCCGAAACUACCAACACCACGUAUGGGGUCUGUCAACACGCCGGAUAACCUACGACGUGUGACCUCAACAUCAAAUCACAAUAUCUCCCCAUACACCGGAACUACCUACGCCACGUAUGGGGUCUGUCCACAUGCCGGAUAACCUACGACACGUGGGACCUCAUCAUCAUAUCACAUAAUAUAUUAACGAUCAAGAAAUAUCACUACGGUCAUUUAAUCCUCCUGGGAAGGUAAAACUAUCUCAGGAGACUCACGGUCAACCAAGGGUCAAACUACCUCAUACUUGGACAAACGAGCCCACGGAGCCCACAACCUCCGUUUUACUAUCCAAGAGUUCCUAUAGGUUCUACAAGGUUUAGGAUACACGGCUUGCAAGUUUGGUCAAGAUCAGACGGUCGGAUCGCUCACGAUAGGACGGUUACUGCAAACCUAGCCCUAGGGUUGGCAUUUUCGGAGUAUCCGAAACUCCGUUUUACGAUCUGUCGAAUCAUAGACGAUCCUAAGGAUUUGCAGACUAACUAUAAUAAAUUCAAGACCAUCCAACGGUCUAAACCUAUCGAACCCGGAUAACGCGCAAUAGGCAAUAUCCAAAUUGAAAUCCGAGCACACCUACGCACUCGUGAGGACUAGGAGAUUACAUCGGGACAUAGUGCCCUUUUUCUACAGUGCCCAUGAGCCGCCGCACGCACCAGCAACGCGUGGGUGCCCAAAGCGAUUAUGCAUCGCCAAAAAAUCUCAAAACCACGGCUCAAGACUCCUACCCUAGGUAUAACACCCUAUUUGGAACCACUUUUGUUCUUGGACCUACCCCAAAAACUGAUCAGAAGUGGCCGGAAUGGCUGAAAUGUAAUUCAAAAAUCAAGCUACCAACGCUCAAAAUCGAUGCAAUCCUACCCAACCAUCAACUAGAUUAUGAAGAAUGGAUAAAUUUCCAUACCUUGAUCGCCAACAAUGGCGGCCGGAGGAGAGAGAUCUGAUCCGGCGAAGUUCGAGUGAAAACGGCCAAAAAUCAUCUUUUUCAGGCGGCUGGAGGGCGACCGAUGUCAGGGAAGGGCAGGGUCGUGACGCUAAGGCUGAGCCUGUCCUUUUGGCACCGGUCCCUUCCGCAGCCGUGUCCGGUGGCUGGAGUUUCGAAGAGAGAGAGAGAGAGAGAGAGAGAGAGAGAGAGAGAAAUCUGAUUUUUAUCAAACCUUUUUGCCAAAAUUACGGUUAUGCCACUGAGGGUAUUUUGAUAGUAUCUCUCUCGUUACAACUUCGAUUCGAGCCCACCACGUGUGUACGGACUCAUCUAACUGUGUUGUACGCAACGGUAUAGUCGAAAUUCCCAAAUUAUUUCCUUGUCAAAAAGUCAACUUUAAACAUUAUAAAAUAUUUUAGGGAAAAAAUGGUAUUUUCUCUCAAUAAAUUAGUAACUAAUUUAUUUAGGACUGGGUCAUUAUACUCUUUUUCGCUUCAAUGGAUGGGAAAAAAUUUUAUGUAAUAUCCCACAUCGACCAACGAAGAGGGGGCGAUGUGUCUUAUAUGUACAUGCCCGCCUCCAUCUAGCAUAAGGCCUUUUGGAAGCUCACUGGCUUCAGAGUCAUGGGAACUCCGAAGUUAAGCGAGUUGGGGGCUAGAGCAAUCCCAGGAUGAGUAACCCACUGGGAAGUUGCUCGUGAGCUUCGAGAAACAAAACCGUGAGGGCAGAGAGAGGGGCCCAAAGCGGACAAUAAGGCCUCGUGCUAGAUGGAGGCGGGCAUGUACAUAUAAGGCACAUCACUCUCUCUCCGUUGGUCGAUGUGGAAUGUUAGAAUGGAAUUGUUACCUUUGGUGUGGAGGUGUUCUAUCAUUUGAGCAAGAAAUUCCCACAUAUUCUUCAACUAUUUUUCAAGCAUGCAUAUUCCUCCCUAUCAAUCUUUGGUUUCUUCCUUUACUGUGCAUAGUAAGGAUCCAGUCAGGGACGGACCGUCGCUAUGACUAUCCUGGGCUAUAGCCCAGGCAAAUUAUUUUUUUUUCUAGUCUAAAAUAGCAAUCCCACCGCUUGCUGUAGUACUUGUUCAGUUCGUCACAAACAUGAGCAUAAUAGAAGUUAUCAACAUCUAUAUAGGAACCCCAAUGAAAAGGCUGUUAACUAAUAAUGAAGUUAACCCGUCAAUUUUUCCGCAUAUCAGAUAUCUCUCAGAAUAUGCGAUUCCAUAUUCAAUAAGCCACUCCACAUGCCCUGAGGUUUUCAUCAAACCACCCAUUAAGGAAACAUACUGACUCAUGUAAUUAUCAUUACUCAUCGGGUAAUGCAAUUGUUCAAAGGCAAGGACAUUUCUCAUUAUUUAUGUAGCGAACCCCAAUGGAAAUGGUGGGAUCUUCAGAACCCCAUCGGUGCUACUGAAUUGUAUGUCAAAUAUGUUUUCACCUUGUCACGCCUCAAACUUGACUCCAGCGUGCUGUAAUUCUGUCAAGCUGGGUAUGGAUGAUGGGAGUUUGAUGCAGGAGCAUAGGGGUGGAUCAAGAUAGAUAUUUACUAUUUAAUUAGUUAUUUCAUGAUAUAUUGUUAUUUUCUUAUUUAGGUAGUUUUAUGAUAUCUUUUAUUAUUUAUGUGUGAUUUUAUAAUUAAUUAGUAUACUUUUGGACCAAGUAGCCUUGGUGCUCAAGUCUUGUAAAGCCUAUAAAUAAGGCUAAUGUAAUAGUUGUAGAAUAGAUGUCGAUGAUUAAUAAAAUCGUUUAUUUGUGGCAUGGAUUUGCUACGAUAUAUGUGAGUUUGCACUAGCCCUAGAUUUCAGUGCUCGUGUAUGUGGUUGGUGACCUGUGUCCGGAUCCCGAUCCCCAUCAAUUGGUAUCAGAGCUAUGGCUCAAGAUCUGCUAUAUCGGGGAGGUUUUUGGAUGGAGGGUCGUUUUAACAACUACAACGACAUGGAGGAAAUUAGGAGGAUGCUACGGCAACUUAUGGAACACAUUGCUCGCAUUGAAGCUCGAACCCAGAUAGGUAAGAGUUCUGACGGGGAGGGAUGUGUGAACCCUUAUCUGAACCGAGUAGCUCGCAUCGACACUCUAAGCCGUGAGAGUCUCGACGGGGAGUACGAGGGAGAUAGCCCUUUUCAUUAUUGUGCUCCGCUGUGUGAGUCAAGUGAAGAGGGGCACGGUUAUUCUCAUUGUGUCUUUGAAGGUAUAAAUGAAUUUAGUAAUUUUGGUGCAUCUUGUUAUUCAUCAAAGUUAUUAAAUUUGGAUUUACCUCCAUUAUUUGAUCCUUGCAAUUGUGAAAAUUGCAAUAAAAAUUGUUUGGGUGUUCAAAGCAAUUUUGAUAAGCAAUUUAUUGACCAGAACAGUGAAGAGAUGAGAAUUGAGAAAACUUUCGAAGAUAUUAUUGAUUUUAUGGGCAUUAAUAUUUUCACUUGGAAGGUUGCCAAAAAUCUGGUUGAUUUUGUCAAUCGGUUGAAGAUUCUAGAGAGAAACAUUUGCAUUGCUAGAGGGAGUAAGAAGUCAAGAAUAACGAAAUAUUCCAAAUAUCUUUUUAUUUGGAAAGGAAGGUUUCAAUUGGAUGCUAAAAGAUCCAAAAUUAAUAUGCAGCAAUUGAAGAUUCUACUCGGAUUUUCCUUAAUCAAAGGCUUGAAUUCGAGGACGAAUUCUUUCCAACUAUGGGAGUCUGAUGCAGGAGCAUAGGGGUGGAUCAAGAUAGAUAUUUACUAUUUAAUUUGUUAUUUCAUGAUAUAUUGUUAUUUUCUUAUUUAGGUAGUUUUAUGAUAUCUUUUAUUAUUUAUGUGUGAUUUUAUAAUUAAUUAGUUUACUUUUGGACCAAGUAGCCUUGGUGCUCAAGUCUUGUAAAGCCUAUAAAUAAGGCUAAUGUAAUAGUUGUAGAAUAGAUGUCGAUGAUUAAUAAAAUCGUUUAUUUGUGGCAUGGAUUUGCUACAAUAUAUGUGAGUUUGCACUAACCCUUGAUUUCGGUGCUCGUGUAUGUGGUUGGUGACCUGUGUCCGGAUCCCGAUCCCCAUCAGAGUUCCCCUCCAGCUUUUGAUUCCAACGGUUGAUAGAGUUUAAAUAUUUUCCUGAAAAGAUCAAUAAUAUGUGCCACUGAUCUAAAAGUCUCCAAAUUGUCUUCCAAUUUGUCAACAGGCAAUAGAUGUUCGAAGAAACUGAAAGAAAUACAAAUUAUUGAAAGCCCCUCAGUAAUGCUGUUAUUGUCAGCAUUAGCAGGGAGUGUAAUUUUCUGUGGGUCGAAAAGAUCCUCGAGAAUGAAGAAUGGCAACUGAUUUUCAAGCAACCACGUAUCUGUCCAUGCAUCUUGCAACAUACCUGGUUUGUCAAAUAUGCGGUCAUUUUCGUCCCAAAAUUUGAAGUAGUCCUUCAAUAAGGGCUCAAUAACGAAGGCGGCGCCCACUAGAAUGAUUGUUACAAAUUCAUCACUGCUAAACUUGAUGGGUUCUCCAUAACAACGUCUCAAUCUUGCUUCGUGGUCCUUUAUUUUCUUAAUAUAAUCCUCCAAACUCACAUUGGUCCGACCUAUAAAAUCUUGCAGGUAUCUCUGUUUGUUCUCUUCCAAUACGACAUUCAAGCCUUCCUUUCCAUGGUGAAGUGGACCUAUAGAGACCGACUGCCUGAGGUGUGCAGAGCUUUUCAUUCACACAUACGUAGAUAAAAUGUCUGGGGGCUCAGAGAGUGAUGAAUGUGCAACAGCUAAUGGGAGGGUUUAUAUUCCUGAAGUAAGAAAUGAGGAAACACCAGCAGUUGGGAUGAAGUUUGACUCGCUUGACCUCGUUUACAAUUUCUAUAAUAGAUAUGCAUUCUUGGCUGGCUUUGGUAUUCGACUUCAUUCUAGCUUUUGGGGGAAAAAUAAGAAAGAGAUUUUGAGGAAAGAAUUUGUAUGUUGCAAACAAGGUGCAUACAAGAAGGAUGAAACUCGGGAGAGAAAAAGACAACGGGGAAUAAGUAGAUGCAAUUGCAAAGCAAAGAUUGUGGUUGUGAAGACAAAUGGGAGCAAGAAGUAUACCAUUUCUCUUUUUGCAGAGGGACACAAUCAUAAGAUGACACCCUCAGAAAGAAUGCAUUUAUUGAGAUCACACCGUCAUAUUUCAGAUUCUACAAAAGUACUCACAAAACAGUUGGGUUCAGUUAAUAUUCCCAUUCAUCAGAAGGUAAGUAUAUUCGAGGUGCAAUCCGGAGGAAUGGAUAAAAUCGGUUUUAUCAAAAAAGAUAUCUACAAUCUUGAAUGUAGUGUGAAUGGGAAGCUGAGGAACCACGAUGUUGAACUAGUGACCGAGUAUUUUAUGGCUGAACAGAAAAAAAAUGAGGCUUUUUAUUUCAAGAUUGAGGGAGAUGGGCAUGACAGGUUUAGUCGAUGUUUUUGGGCAGAUGCAACUUCUAGACGGGCGUAUGGGUUUUAUGGAGAUGUUGUUGUAUUCGAUACCACAUUCAACACGAAUCGAUACGACUUGACAUUUGCACCAAUGUUGGGAGUUAAUAACCAUGGUCAGACAAUUGUCUUAGCAUGCGCAUUUUUGAGCAAGGAAACGACUGAGUCGUUUGUUUGGAUGUUUGAGGAGUUUAAGAAAGCCAUGCCAGGUGGGGAACCUAAAACGAUCAUUACAGAUCAAGAUGCGGCAAUGGCCAUAGCGAUUUCAAUAGCCUUCCCGAGUACAUUUCAUCGACUUUGCAUAUGGCACAUCACAUCAAAGUUCUCUGUUAAGUUACCACGUGACGCUUAUAAGGAGUAUUGGCCUGAAUUUCAGAAAGCCAUAUGGGAUACUGACAAUAAGGAUGAGUUUGAUGCAAAAUGGAAUAUUGUGGUUAUAAAGGCUGGUUUGACUGACCAUCCAUGGCUAAGUUCAAUGUUUGAUUUAAGGGAAUCUUGGGUUCCAGCCUACGCACGACAAUUUUUUGCCGCUGGAAUGUCAAGCAGCCAAAGAGCGGAAGGUUCUCAUGGUUUUUUCAAGCAAUACAUAUCAAGGAGAAAUUCGUUGAUGGAUUUCAUAAUACGAUUUGAGAGGGCAUUUUCUCAUCAACGUGAAAAAGAGUUAGUUGCUGAUCACGUAGAUGCAUUUGAAGUGGCUCAAUGUCUUCUACCGAUGCCAAUGAACAAACAAAUGGCUACCUUGUACACAAGGACAAUGUUUCAAAAGUUUGAGCAAGAACUAAUACAAAGUACAGCAUGUUUCCUAGAGCUCAAAACAGAGGAUGCAUGUAAAGUUGUGUUCAACGUGAGCGAAAGGAAAAAUUGGGAAACAAGAGUGGCAGAAGUCGUAUAUGUCAAAGAUUCUGACCACGCAUCGUGUAGCUGCAAAAGAUUUGAAUUUGUUGGAAUUAUUUGCAAGCACAUCCUAGCAUUGUUCAGAAGGGACCAGAUUGAAUAUAUGCCCGAUAAAUAUAUUUUGAAGAGGUGGAAGAAAACUGCGAAAUGUGGAUUGGUGUCAGAUGCAAAUGGCAACGAAAUUAAAGACUGUGCAGAUCCUGGCCUUCUAAUAAAGCGGAGUACAAUGUCUCGACUUGCUUCAAAUGUGGUUGAGGAUGCAUUAAUGAGUGAAGAAGGAUGUGAGCUACUGUCAGAGACUCUAAAAAGUUUGCAGGUGAAGUUGAAGUUGCUGAAGGAUGGACCAAGUAAUAACGAAGUUGGAGGGUCCAGCUCUCAAACACAAUAUAUGAAAGACCCUAAGAGAGUGAGGUGCAAAGGAAGGUCGAAAGGAAUAACGGGAGCAAAGGAAAAGGCAAUGAAGCGAGGGAUUAGACACUGUCGGGAGUGUGGACACAUUGGUCAUGAUAGAAGACAAUGCCCAGCCUUGAACACACCGUAAGAUGCUACCACUAUUUGUAAUAAUAUCUAAAAUAUGAAAAGGUAAAAUUUUUAUGUGCUUGUGUUUGAUGUUUAUGCAGGACAUCACCGUCGAACAAUGACAAAUCAACUCCAAUACAUCGUAGUGACCCAUUAUUCGACGAUUUUGACAAGAUGCACAGACCAACUGAAUGAUUGAUAUUUGUAUUAGACGAAAUGUGGUUGUUAUGAAGAUUAAUGAUCAAGUGAAGUUUUAUAGAUUCAGUUUUUGAAUGUUAUUGUGUUUUUGUUCAUGUCCACCGAUGAGCUCUUACUAUGUCCACUGGUAAUUGAAAUGAAAAUUUUCUUGGUUUCAUUCUUCCAAGACAUUUGGAGACAUGUUAAUUUUACGUCUUCUCCCUAUUUAUAAAUUUUCAUAGACAUUUGAUCAAGUUUGAAAUUUGUAGUUAUGUGAAGAAGCAAUGACUCUUACCAUGUAAAAUGGGCAGUUUAGGGUGAAAUUUGUUUUAACAGAGAUUCAUUUUUCAAUUCCUCAGGGUAAUGCAGCAAUUACAGCAGCCAGCUGUUGUUUCCAUUACCAGUAAUCAUUUCCAGCAGCAGCCACUUUUUCCGACUGGUUAUUAGGGGCACGAUUUUGUACACUUUUGUAAGUGAAGGAUACUCGAAGCACUUUGUUGGAACAGAGCAAAUAGAAACCAGCGGGUAAAAAAAAAACAUAACAUUGCAGCUAAUUACAUUUCGAUACAUAGGUGAAAAAUAUUAAAGGGUACACUAACUUACAUAAAUACUCAUAAUUCCACACACAAAAGAACAUUUGAUUGCAAAACAUAUUAUGUGCUUCCUCAUAGCAAUACCACGAUCUCCCCAACCAACUGAACAACGGUAGCCACAAUCACUGGGUCGUACUCGUCAGCUUCUUCUUAGCAGGUCUCACAUGCUUAUGGCCACUCAUAUCCCUAGUGAUAUACACGAAAUAAAUCUUCAGCAAUAUUUGGAAUUUUAUUAUAUAUAAAUAAACCAUAAACCAUUCAGUAAACAAUGUAUAGCACAUGUUAUGUAACUUAUGACUCACGUGUCAGUUUUUUUUUUAACACAUUAGUACUCCAGCUCUUUAAUGUAAAUGGACAUGAUAAGGAGCAUUUACUGAUUCCCGGCUUUCUAUGAUAUUGACUGCUUCUUGAAUAAUAUUUCCAUAUUUGCAAAAUAUAAUGUUAGACAUUAUAACACAUGAUGACUUGCAAUACAUAGUCCCAAUAAUUAUAUAUCAAGCAAAUGAAACUGAUAUUUGUGUUAUUUUAAGUUAGAUAAUGACAUUAAGGGAGUAUAUGUGCAAUACCACGGUCACCCUCAACCAACUGAACAGCGGUAGCCGCAAUCACUUAGUCGUAUCGGUCGGCUUCUUCCGAGCAGCUUUGACGUGCUUAUGCUCAUUCAUGUCACCCCCAUCGUCUAGUAUCUCUCUCACAGCAUCAGGGGACACAUAGUUCCAAUCAUAACUUGUAUGAGUAGUUGCCGCAAAUGCUCGGAAUUUGUCGAAUCCUUCGUUGAAUGCCAACUCCAGUUCAGUAUGGUGCUCUUCGCAUCGCAUAUGGUUCAUCAAACAACCUUUGAUUUCAUCAUUCAUUACUGUAUCCAACUCCUCAGCUUUCAGCUUCCUGCUAUGACUCAGCUUCAAGUACUUGUUCUUUUGGGAUAACGCUUUGUUCACCCUAAUGUUAAGAUCAGCCAAAAUUGCCUCGUCUUCAACACAUUUCUCGUGCCAUGAAUUGAUCAGUCUGGAAUUAUAAUCCAGCUUGCCACUGACUGCAUGUAUUGCCUGUAAUGGAUCAUCGGAGUCCCCCUCACUCCCAAAUGAUGUUGAAAAAGGAAGGGGUCGGCGAGUACAAUGUGGAAAUAGAACCUGCCACUCCAAUUUGUCAUCUUCGAUUGUGUUGUUGGCGCCUGAAGAGGUUGACAUGCUUGAAUAAUCCUCUUUGUUUUGGGAGGAUGAGGAUUGCAUAUGCAAUUUCGUUUGAGAAAGGGAACAUAGGUUUAUAGACCAACAUACCAAAGCUUGUGUGUAGUCAACAUAUGUACUUUUUGGCGGGAAUUUUUUAAAAAUAGGUGUUAGGUUUUGCUUUUCAAGCAUGUCAACCUCACACUCUCCUGACACCACUGCUAGUGGUUGAAACAAAGUCAAUGGAAGUGACAUCUACUUAGUUAACUCAACCAAACUAGUUAGGAUUAAACUUAGAUUGUAUCAGACCAAAAAAUAAUUUCUACUUUGUCAACCAAAUAUUUUUUGGCGGGAACCCUUUUCUUGGUAUUACUAUCACCCCUUUCAUAUAAAAUCUCCUUCCACACAAAACUCACUCCUCCACCGAAUCUGUCUCCAUCUACCGAUACUCUCUCAAGCAAACAAACUCAUUCCCCCCAAAGAAUGAGCAUAAGCACAACCAAGUUUGAUGUGAGCAUAAUAAACACCCCUCCAAACAAAGACCGGCUUCGACACGCAAGUGAGUCACCGGACAAGCAAUGUCACAUUGCUAGACAGAAUGACCAUUUUGUUGGAAGUUUUGAGUCUGAAAGAGUUGUUGCUUUUUGGAAGGAGAGGCAUCUUCAACUUGGUGAUGAAAUCCAAAGGGCAAGGGCACGUUUGGAAUUUGUGGAAGGCCAAAUUGAAGAUGACAAAAGGCAGGCCAAUCUGGAUAGGGCGAAGUUGUAGCGCAUGAAGCGUAGACACAAACGACUUCGGAGUGUAGCUGUUCAAAAAUACAAGAACUCAUCUAAUGUAGUGGAGUCAAAGAAGCGUGUGAUGCAAGCUGGAUUCGACUACUUCCGAUCCUAUGCAAAACUCGUCGUACCCGGGUUUGAUUGGUCAUCUAUUACCGUUUCCGACGUCACCAAAUAUACUCAGCAAGGGAAGUAACCAUUUUGGUUCUCGUGUUUUAGCAGAGGCAAAUAAGUGGAAUUGGAAUUUUGGUUACACUCUGCUUCAAAGCUAUUUUGAUGCUAACUACUAUGGAAGAUUUAAACCUUAAUAUUUUGAUGUCUUUAAUUACGAAAACAGAAGAUGCAAAGAGCUCAUCUACUUCAGCCAUAUGUUGCUGCCAUGUCCAUUUGUUUUUGAUCACUUAUCAGAUUUGGACAUGGUUGCAUCAUAUGCAAUGUUGCCUUUAUUUAUUAUAUGUUAGGACAAGGUUUAUGGAAAAGCUUUUGUGAGUGCGUUUGUGACAAGGUUAUGGAAUUAUUAUGUACACUUUAUAUAUUGUUUUUUGUACUGGUUCAUUUCCUACUAUUUCUUGCUUUCUUUAUAUUUUAUGUUUGUGGAAUCCCUCUCAAAGUUAACAUAUACUGUGAAAAAAAUAUUAUGCAACUGAUUAUAUAAUCACUCAUAUAGACUAGGACAAAUAUUCACUAAGGGUUUUAAACUUGCUUCACUUGUGUGAUGUUAUUGACAAAAAGUAUGGCAUUAUUUAUGUGAUUUGACAUGAUUGAAAAUAUAUUACUGAUUCCCAAUGCGGCGUCAUAUGGACAACGUAUUGAAUACCUGUGACGUGUUAAUAACUCAAGGUGCAGUUGCAUGUGGACAACUUCUUGAAUACCUCUGACGUGUUGAAAACUCUAGGUGCAGUUGCAUGUGGACAACUUAUUGAAUACGAACUGACGUCUUCAAAGCUCUAGGCGUAGUUGCAAUGAUGGCUUCAAAGCAUGUGCAAUUAUUUUUUAUGUACAUUAUUAUAACAAAACAUAUUAUUGUAUAUAGUGAAACUAAAUAUUGUAUUAUUAGAAAUUAUAUUUCGAAUAUUAUCCGAAAUAUACGUGUUAACGUGAAUUUGGGUUAAGAGGAAAGUGAGUUAUGUACAAAUAAUUUUCAUUUUCUCAUUUUCCGGGCAUUUUUUGGAUUUUCGUAGAAUUUAUUACCUAUGUCCACAGAUUGUUGCACUAAAAAAGCCAAAAUAAUAGCAAGAGGACACCUGGAGCGAUCUCAGCCCGUCACUGAUGACUACUUGCACAAGUGUACGUCAGUCAACAUGGCCACACCCUCCCAUUUUACCCUAAAUUAUUAUUUUAUUACUUUUCCUUACAAAAAUCAGAACUAAUUACACACAAAAUAAAAAAAUUAUCCGAAAAUUGCUACGAACUCAUUGACACUCCAUCUCCGUUGCUGAAUUCUCCGAUUCAUUGUUACGUAUUUGUAAAAUUAAUUCCCAACAUUAACGGGAGAUGCUUGUUGAAGUAGGUUAUUCAAGUUGAAGUUAACAAACAUCAAUACUUAGGGUUAAGAGGAAAGUGAGUUAUGUAACACAAUUUGGAUUAUUUCAUUGCGAGACGAAUGAUUUAUAGGUUCUCCUAGUUUUAUGACGUCACAAGUAGGCCGGAGUAAUUUUUGGGGCAUUUUUACGAUUUUCCUACUAUUUUUUACCUAGUUUCAAAGAUUUUUGAACAAAAGAAUCCAAAAUGUAAAAGAAGAUGACACCUGGCGCGAUCUCAGCCCGUCACUUUUCACUACUUGCACAAGUGUACGUCAGUCAACAUGGCCACAUCCUCUCAUUUUACCCUAAAUUAUUAUUUUAUUACGUUUUGUCUUGGAAAAUUCAUAACUAAAUACACAAAAAUUCAAAAUUAUUUCUGAAAAUUGCUACGAACUCAUUGACACUCCAUCUCCGUUGCUGAAUUCUCCGAUUCAUUGUUACGCAUUUUUAAAAUUAAUUCCCAACAUUAACGGGAGAUGCUUGUUGAAGUAGGUUAUUCAAGUUGAAGUUAACAAACAUCAAUACUUAGGGUUAAGAGGAAAGUGAGUUAUGUAACACAAUUUGGAUUAUUUCAUUGUGAGACGAAUGAUUUAUAGGUUCUCCUAGUUUUAUGACGUCACAAGUAGGCCGGAGUAAUUUUUGGGCCAUUUUUACGAUUUUCCUACUAUUUAUUACCUAGUUUCAAAGAUUUUUGAACAAAAGAAUCCAAAAUUAACAAGAAUAUGACACCUGGCGCGAUCUCAGCCAGUCACUUUUGACUACUUGCACAAGUGUACGUUACCGAACAUGGCCACAUCCUCCCAUUUUACCCUAAAUUAUUAUUUUAUUACCUUUUUUCUUGGAAAAUUCAUAACUAAAUACACAAAAAUUAGAAAAACGAUCCGAAAAUUUCUACGAACUUAUUGCGAUUUCAUCUUCCUACUGCAUUCCCUGUUUAAUGGUUAUGCUACAUUAGUAUUUUAUUAUUAUUUAUCCACAAUUAUUAUAAUUAUUAUGAUAUUACUUUUUAGGCUGUCCAUUUGUUAAUUAUACCACAUCCAACUUGUUGAAAACAAUUUUAUUUUCCGUGCGAAUAGGCCAUUUGUAGUGCUUAUCGGUUUCUCUGUUCUUCAAUUUGUUAAUUUUUUUAUUUUUUAGGUUGAAGGGAUGUUUUGAAACAUAAUAUGGAAAUAUACAAGUCAUCCAUUGUACUCCUUCCACACAAAAAAAUAGUCUACGUCAUUCACUGUUCAACACCCUAGGUUAAGACACGUGUAACCAAAUCCGUUCGGAUAUGCUAAGUGGGAAAAUGUCAUUCCCAAGCACUGGUGAAAAGACACUUAUUUACUCCAUGCAUGACUUUUGGUUUACCAAAUAUGAAGAUUGGGGUCGGUGAGCAAAAUAUCUGUGUCAGUAAAAUGUCAUUCCUAGCCAUCUAUGAUGUAAGUAAUAAUUCCGCUAUAUAAUAAAUAUUAUACAUUUAUAUAUAAAACGGUUUAUGACAAAAUACCAACAUUUGAACAACAUUUAAACUGAGAUAGGUAUAACGUAGCCAGCCAACCUAGAAGUGAAGAGAAGCAAGUCCACAAUGCAUCAAAACUGUAAAUUCGUACUAAAACUAAUGCAAAAAUACGUGAUUCCCUCGCACAACUUACUCACGCAGGAUUUUGCACCAAAAAAUACUCUCACGGUGCCAUUUGCAUCGGUUGCAGCAAGUCCAAAACGCAGGAUUUAUCUUGUCUUCACUAGGCCACCCUGGAAUAACAAAAUACCAUUCAUUGUUGUUACAAGCGCUGCACCGAUUGAACUUAAUCUUCCCAUAGUCAAACAUAUCUACGAUAUGUCUUGCAACAAAUGCUCCGCGACAUCUUCCUGUUAAAGCAUCCCUGGUUCCUUUCAUAUCAAUGUUGUUACGUUGAUUCAAAGAACACAAGAAUUGUAAUGCAUCCUCUUUUGACUGACCAAUUCCGGACAUACCAAGUAGUCCAACUACAUAUGCCGCUUCCAUAUGGCCUGCCGUGGCUGCAAUGCGCAUCCCAUACAACGCUUCCACCUUACCGUCUGUGAAAAAACCUUCGAAUGCUUCUCUAAAUAUGGACUCAGGGUUAUCGCAAGCCCUGCAUUGUUGCAAGAAAUGCUGGACUGCAGGUUUGGCACGGUAGCAGAUAGGAUGGUGUGGGUACUUUGCCAUUGAAAUGGUGUUCCACACUUGUGGACUGUUUGCCAAAAUGUUGAACAAUCGGCACACACAUGCCAUACGGAAGAGAUCUUCCGAUGAUUCGGUUGCCACGUAUAACAUCACUUGAAACCAAGCGGACUCCGGGAUAAAGGCUUCGGGCAUAUCGAAAUGGAGAUGCUUCCUUCUCUUUCCUCCGACUGUAGUGAAGUGUUUCGAAUUCAUUGAAAAGUUUUUGGAAUGGAACGAUUUGAGGAGUGGCAGAGGGGAUAAAUGAUAAUAUUUGGGGUACACGUUCUACUUCCGAGCCUCUGUUUAUAGUGUUUUGAAAAGGUGUUUCCAGUUGGGGUUUUUCCAAGUUGACCCUUUUGAAAGAAACUGAAUCCAAGUGAAUUAAAACUUAAGACAAAAGAAGGGAAAACGUCAUAACGGUGCAUACAGAGUCAGACAGUUAAAAAGUUAAUUAAAUGGCUAUUUGCAUAGCCAUUUUUGGGUUUAUCCCACUAUCAAAUUCAUUGAUACAAAUGUGAUGGAUUACUGACUAGUGACAGAAGGUCCCAUCAUAUACUUUUUCAUUUUCGCACACCCAACUAUCCCUAGUAAUGUUAUUAAAAUGGAACCAAUAAUGACGGAUUCUUAUCCAACUAGUUGCCUUAAUGAAAUAUAAAUAAAUUAAUAAAAUUGAAGCAGUGUCCCGUCAUUAGUCAGAAAAUAUAUUUGGUAGUGAAGUAGUUUCUAUUGCUUUUCGGGCUAAAAGAUGUCACAAUGCUGACGGUACAGGUGUCGACAUCGUGACCAACCCACCAAAUGAUCCCAAAAAAAAGUAAUAUAACUCGAUUUGGGCAGAGAUGAGAGAGAGCUGAGUGACAAGUUUAGGGUUAUGAGUGAAGGGGUAUGAAUGACAACUAUGAGUGAGAAGGUAUGAGUCCGAAGAGGUUUCAGUGAGAAGAUUUGAGUGAGAAGAGGUACAACUGAGAAGAUUCAACAUGUCUUCGUCUUCAUCUCCUGCUCAAACAAAGAGGUGUCAGUAUUGUGGAGCUACAAUGGUGCUUCGGGUUUCAAAAUCUGAAAAAAAAUCGAGGGAAGCCAUUCUGGAAGUGUCUAACCUCCUAUGUAAGUUUUAAUUUAAAGAAUAUGUAUGUGGGUGAAAAAAAACCUAUGUCUAACUCUGACAGAAUUAUAUUCCAUAUAUGAUGCCUGCAAUUAGGGAGCCACCAGUUGCAAUGGAUUCGAAUGGGUUGAUGUAACCUCCGCUGAAGCAGAACAUCAAGAUGACACGUAUGAUGUUAGAGUGCUGAACAUGCUGAAGUCCAUUAAGGACUUGGUAUUAGUUUUAUUAGUUGUAUUAAUUGUCAUUUUAUUUGUUCUUUUAAUGAUCAUUUAACUGCACGGUUUAAAAGAUUGUGAAAGUUCUCUCGCACAAGACAUAUUGCACGCACCACCAAUGAGACCCUAAACCCAUUUUGUAAUAUUUGGUAACUGCAUGUAUUUCGCAUGUUAUUGAAUGUUUAUUGAAGGUUUAUUGAUAGUUUGCUGCAUGUAUAUGGAAUAUCAUUGCCCCAAAAUUGGAUGUUUAUUGGGGCCACAAGUAUCACUCAAGUAAGAAUGAAGGGGAGAAACGGACCUUAUUCUUUCUUAUAGUAGGAAGAACAACUGUUAAGUUUAAUAUCCUAUUCAAUACGACUUCCCUAUGGUUGGUGUACUUGGGGACUGAAGUAUAUUGCAUCAUUAUUGUGGGCAAGGGCAUGUCUAUUGUGUGUGUUAAGGGAGUAUUGUGUGGGCAAGGGCAUGUCUACUGUGUGUAUAUUGCAUGUCUACUGUGUGUAUAUUGCAUAUCUAUUCUCUGUAUAUGGCAGGCCAAGUUUGUGUAUAUUGUUUGUCUGUUGUGUGUGUAUUGCUUGUCGGUGCGUUUGUGAAUUGUGGUUCAUUUUGUGUAUAUUGUCUUUGUUUCUACUUUUAUGCUACUGAGCUGCGGAAAACCUCGCAUGUUUAGACACCUAUUAUGAUGCAACACAUUGCGAUUAAUGGUGGCUUGCAUCAACAAUGACAUAUCACUUUGCAAUGAUGUAAUACACUUAAAAAGCCGUCUUCAAAUCCCAAUUCACAUAUGCAGUCUUAAAAUUCUAAUUCAAUGCAGUUUGGUUAACAAACAUGUAAAUGUCAUGAAGGAGUUAGCGGUAGAAUUCGAUAAGGACCCGUACGUCUCUAUUGUGUAUUUACAUUAGUUUGAGAAUGGACAUUCCCAAAACCUUCUCAUGUACCAUUUGUCAUCUUCAACCAAUAUCAUGGGAAGUAAGCAUCUCCCCUUGUUAUCUCCGCAGCCAAUUUCAACCGAAAAAAAGGCAUGUUGUGCGAGGUGCAAGUAGCUAACGGAAGCUUAGCGCUGAAAAGCUCAAUGUACUUUAACACAAACAUGCCACAAUCGCCUCUGAAGCAAAACAAGAACUCGAUCAAUUCAACUAAUGACAUUCUAAUGUAAUUGACAAUUGAAAGUAAUAAAAUUAAAUUGCAAGUUGUGCUUACUCAUUAGACUGUUGUGGAACAUCCACACGCUCUAUUGGCCACGGACACCACCAAUCUCGGCUGCAAUUGUUUGCAUAAACACCUUCUUCAUAAAAGUCGAUGGUGUUGAGAAGAUUUGGAAGCGUAAUUGAUAGCGGGCCGAGUUCUUCCUUUACGAUGUCAUCUGGAAUUAGUGAAACCUUUGAAUCGUACACUUUGAUUCACACAAUACCAGAUCAAACANNNNNNNNNNNNNNNNNNNNNNNNNNNNNNNNNNNNNNNNNNNNNNNNNNNNNNNNNNNNNNNNNNNNNNNNNNNNNNNNNNNNNNNNNNNNNNNNNNNNNNNNNNNNNNNNNNNNNNNNNNNNNNNNNNNNNNNNNNNNNNNNNNNNNNNNNNNNNNNNNNNNNNNNNNNNNNNNNNNNNNNNNNNNNNNNNNNNNNNNNNNNNNNNNNNNNNNNNNNNNNNNNNNNNNNNNNNNNNNNNNNNNNNNNNNNNNNNNNNNNNNNNNNNNNNNNNNNNNNNNNNNNNNNNNNNNNNNNNNNNNNNNNNNNNNNNNNNNNNNNNNNNNNNNNNNNNNNNNNNNNNNNNNNNNNNNNNNNNNNNNNNNNNNNNNNNNNNNNNNNNNNNNNNNNNNNNNNNNNNNNNNNNNNNNNNNNNNNNNNNNNNNNNNNNNNNNNNNNNNNNNNNNNNNNNNNNNNNNNNNNNNNNNNNNNNNNNNNNNNNNNNNNNNNNNNNNNNNNNNNNNNNNNNNNNNNNNNNNNNNNNNNNNNNNNNNNNNNNNNNNNNNNNNNNNNNNNNNNNNNNNNNNNNNNNNNNNNNNNNNNNNNNNNNNNNNNNNNNNNNNNNNNNNNNNNNNNNNNNNNNNNNNNNNNNNNNNNNNNNNNNNNNNNNNNNNNNNNNNNNNNNNNNNNNNNNNNNNNNNNNNNNNNNNNNNNNNNNNNNNNNNNNNNNNNNNNNNNNNNNNNNNNNNNNNNNNNNNNNNNNNNNNNNNNNNNNNNNNNNNNNNNNNNNNNNNNNNNNNNNNNNNNNNNNNNNNNNNNNNNNNNNNNNNNNNNNNNNNNNNNNNNNNNNNNNNNNNNNNNNNNNNNNNNNNNNNNNNNNNNNNNNNNNNNNNNNNNNNNNNNNNNNNNNNNNNNNNNNNNNNNNNNNNNNNNNNNNNNNNNNNNNNNNNNNNNNNNNNNNNNNNNNNNNNNNNNNNNNNNNNNNNNNNNNNNNNNNNNNNNNNNNNNNNNNNNNNNNNNNNNNNNNNNNNNNNNNNNNNNNNNNNNNNNNNNNNNNNNNNNNNNNNNNNNNNNNNNNNNNNNNNNNNNNNNNNNNNNNNNNNNNNNNNNNNNNNNNNNNNNNNNNNNNNNNNNNNNNNNNNNNNNNNNNNNNNNNNNNNNNNNNNNNNNNNNNNNNNNNNNNNNNNNNNNNNNNNNNNNNNNNNNNNNNNNNNNNNNUUUUCCUCUCCCUCAUCUCUAUUAUUUGGCCCUUCACCCCCUUCAAUCCCUUCAUCUUCUUUUUCCUCUCCCUCAUUUCUGUUACUUGGCCCUUCAUCCCAUUGAAUGUCAUCCAUUUCCCCAUAUCCCUUAAAUAGAUGUGAGACGACACAACGAUUCGUCCUCUGUUUCAGUAAAGCUAGGUCCCUCCUUACUUCCUGCUCAAACUGAGGACCUAAACAUUGGUCCAAUAGUUUUUCCAUCCGUAUGACCUUUAAGUGAAGGACGUCUUUUUCCCGCUUUUCUUGAAACAACUCGGACCUCAACAAGCUUACCACCUUGUUCAACUCAUCAAGAUCACCACAUGAAGAAGGAAUUGACUCUGCCGAGACAACAGCAGGGCGAUCCUGUGGCCAACUCCAAUAUGGCUGUCUCAUUUCCUCUUCACUUAGACAUAGCGCCCGCAACUGAACUGACUGUUUCAGAAUACAGACAAGAGUCAUAUUAAAUCAUUCUACUUCAUAAUUUCAUUCAAUCUUAUCAAUAGUUCUAAGGGCUGCAAACCAAACCUCUUUGCUCUGGAAAAAAUAAUUGUUCAACUUUCUCAUCUCUGGAACAGACGUAGUAGUUCUCCAUCGCAAAAUACGCGGGACAGCGGUCGGAUCAACAACCUUGCAGUAAUUCAGGUCCGCCAUUCUAGGAAUUAAUUCAUAUACCCAAAUCUACACAAUUCACAGGACAAAAGUCAUUAUUUAUGUUUUAAAGAAAAACAAAACAUAACUGACAUGAACAUUAUUACCAUGUACCUGGAAAGCAUACGUGAAACCUUUAAAACUCCAGCCACUCCUUUGCGCUUCACUAUGCUUAUCCUUCUUGCCCUUCUCAUUUCUCCGGCUUGUUCCCGUUACCUUACUUUUCCCCUUCCCUCUUCCCUCUUCAUUUUCCAAGCUUUUCACAUACUUUGUUGGUGCAGAAAAUAGACUGUCUUGGGUUUUGUCAAAGGACACCGAACCCCACGGAUACCUGUUGAACGCAUCCAAGUCCUCUACAAGGGUCAGGUAAUUUAGAUUGAUGUUCAAAUGUUUGUCCCUUCCCAAAACCACUAACUCAGCAAAGUAAACAAGAGGUAGCUUGAAGAUGUCAUCUUCCUCUGUGCACCUCACAAAUGCUUCUUCUAAAGCAUUGCAUGUAAUUCCUUCGUCUAUAAAAUAUCUUUUCUGAAGUCUGAUUUCAUUACUCUCUCCACUGGAAACUUCAGGCACUUCCCCAAAACGAAGCCCUGUGAUCAAACAGAAAUCCUGACGAGUGAACUGAGCAACGUCACACCCUAAUAAGAAACUCAGUCCAUCCAAGUCUUUCACACCCUGCCCCGCUACUCUACGCAACACAACCCCAUGCACAAUCUGUCCGCUAAACUGAAUCUUAUCUAUAUUCAGAAGAUGGCCAAAGCAUGAUGUCUUGAAUUGUUCUAAUUGUUCCGCACUCAACUUCGCUCGAAUUGCAGCUAGAGAUGAAUUUGCAUGUGAGCAGUUGUUCACCCGUGAUGAAUAUACCUCUGCCUCUGGCCAUACCAGCUCCACGUUGGAUCCCAUUUCCUCAAAUACAAUGUGAAAUAACGUGAACAUAUAUACUACCACGUAUUUGCACAAUCACAACUAGUCAACCAGGCACAUUACAACUUUUACAAAGUACAUGAGCAUAUGGAUUACUCAUCACAGGCUUUAACAUCAUCAAAGCAAUAUGACAAUUUUUGUGCAAAUACCUGUUAAUGCAAUGAUUAUGUGAAUUACAAACAAUUUCACGUGUUUUAUUUAUGGAUCCAUACUCGUGUGAGUGCAAUGUAGGCAAGUUCUGCACUUCACACACAUGACAAUUAUUGUCAUCUCAUACACAACCCAAAAUAAAUAAAUAAGAAAUAUAGUGGAAGGAAGCAAAGCAAAGCAUGUACUCUGCUAUCUGCUUGCUAAGCAAUUGCCACAUCCUUCUUUCUUUCUACCUUUUUCUUCAGUCACCCACAAUCGUCAUAGAUCAACCUUCAUUUCAAAUGCUUUGCACUUUUAUUCAUGAGUUUAUUAUUAUCUGUUCUCAUUUCUCAUAGGCAAAUUUAGUAACAAAUGAAAUAAUAUUUAUUUCACAAAAUAUAUAAAUUCUAGUGCCAGAGAGGUACUCUUCACUCUGCACUGCUUCAAAUGUGGAAGGUUUUGAGAUGUUAUUGACAUGUGAUUGACUUUAUUUUCAUUCGUUUUUUAACAUAUACCCAAGCAAAAAUUAACAUGCAAUUGAAGCACAAAUAAGAGAUGCCAAAUCCAACAACAUUGAUGGUACAAAUUGGGGAAAACCAUUACUCUAACCCUAAACUCAAAUUCCUUACAUUACUCAUCAAAUGCUUUGCAGUUCUAUUCAUGAGUUUAUUAUUAUCUGUUCAAAUGUUUCUCAGGCAAAUUUAGUAACAAAGGAAAUCAUAUUUACUUCAUAAAAUAUAUAUAUAUAUAUAUAUAUUCUAGCGCCUCUUCUUAAUCUGCACUAUGCACUGCUUCAAAUGUGGAAGGUUUUGAGGGCCUCCUCCAAUUCAACACCAUUAUCUUAUUCAUAUCAUUAUUGACAUGUUAUUCACUUGUUAUUGACUUCAUUUUCAUUCUUUUUUUAACAUAUACCUAAGCAAAAAUUAACAUGCAACUGAAGCACAACGAAGAGAUGCCAAAUCCAACAAAAUUUAUGGUACAAAUUGGGGAAAACCAUUACUCUAACCCUAAACUCAAAUUCCAUAAAUUACUCACCAAAUGCUGGUUAUUGCAAGGUGUCUGUGUGGGGUCUUUCUGUUUCUUUGCUCCACAAAUGGAACCUACCACUUCCAACGAAUACAGCUUUUCCCCUUCCCCUUCCACUGCUUCGCCUCUUCACUGAUUUGGAAUCCACACCUUUGCCCCUUCUACUCCAAAUAAAUACUUUCUCGGGGUCUGGAGAACGGAGUGGCGAAUCGUUGCCUUCAACUGUCGUUAGCCGUUGCCUUCAUUGGGUAUCUCAGACCUCUGUGUUUUAGAGAGAUGAGUUCUUUCUGUUCAAACUUCGAACUUGCCUCUUCUUCUUCUUUUUCGGACGUGUUUCCCUCUUCUUCUUCUUUUUGGACGUGCUGGAUAUUCAAUUCGGGUUUGGGUUCCUUACCUACCCAAUUGUGAAACUUUAACUCAAUUCUCCCCAGCCCUUGGAUUAAUCUGAUGGCUAUAAAGUGAACCCCUUAUAACUUACCCCUUAUAACUUUCCACUCAUUAUAGUCUUGGCCAGGUAUGGCGGCCAUGCUAGUAAGUGUUGGGUCUUUGACCCAACUUAAGCUAAAUGGGUCAUAAGAUGACCGAUCAUCUUAUCUCAUAAGGAUAUAUAAGUCAUGUUAUGAUUUAGGAUUUUAUAGGGUUUCCUUUGUAAGAGGUAAGAGAGAAACAAGCUCUCUCUCUCUCUACACAAGGAGGUCAGCCAUAGCAAGGGAAAGGCUCCUAGCACUCUCCUCUCUCUUAUUAUAUCAUCCUUCCAAGGACAGCUUUGGUAUGGUAAAGUUGGAGGUUGCACACUUUGUGCACUUUGGUAAGAACUCAUCCAAGGGAGCCAAGAUUAAAUUGGUUAGCUGUUGGAUUAAAUUGGUUAGCACGAUUCAACGGUUAAUAGAUAAAACUUCACAUAAAAGUCAUAUAUAAGGCCCUCACUAUAGAAUGACUCGUUAGUUUAGUCUCUUGUUACAUAUCAAAUGUUAGAGAUAUUUUUUAAUAAGGAUCUGCCAUACCACAUAGUUGGAUAAGACAUUAUACACGGCUUUUGUAAGAGCAUCUCCAGCGCUCCAAACUAGCCCAAGCAGCAGGGGGGCCUAAGUCUAGGAAGCAGCUCCAGCUCGCAAGAUUCAACCCAGGCAAGGUGUGGAACCCACGAGGAGAUCUAGCCCGUCACCUUGCCUUUGGGUUUCAGUCAAGCUGAUGUCAACGAAAGAAUUUCAAAUUUUUUUUACCGUUACAAUGUACGCGCCAACGAUAAAUUUUCUUUGGAUUUCUUGCAUUGAUCCACAGCUACCAAAAACCAACAGCUACAAGCCACGUGGCUUCUCCAGGAGCCUCCGAUCCAAAAAUCAUGUCAAAUCUAACGGCAGUCCAUUUUUUGGCUAAAAAUAUCAAAAAAUUAUGGAAACAUGUUCUAUAAAUUCCUACAAAUAUUAUUCACUUCCCACACCAAAUCUUCAUACAAAUUCAUAUCCUUUCAAUAUUUUUCACUUUCCAUACAAGAUUUUCUACUACUAAGUUUCGUUUGUGUAAAAAUACAAAUGACCUCUUCUAUCGAAGCCGGAGGCGCGUGUACAACCGUGGAAGAUAUUUUGUUGCGUGAGUGUUGGGUCAAAGUUGGUCAUUCCCUGAUCACGGGCAAUGAGAUGAAGUCCUCUCGUAGGAGUUUCUGACAUCGCAACGAAAGUAAGAUGUGAUAUGAAAAUGUAAGGAAUUUGAUGAGAGGAAUGGGAUUUGAGGAGUUUGAUGUAGGAAUUGAUGUAGGAAUUGAAUUUGGGAGGUAUGUAUAUAAGAUUUGAGGGUAUGUGUUUAGGGAUUUUGAUAAGAGGAUUUGAGGAAUUUAGAUUUGAAGGAUUUGGAUUUGGGGAAUUUAAAUAUGAGGAAUUUGAUUAGGGUUUGGGUUUGAAUAUGUGAAAUUUGAUAUGAGAGUUUAGAGACAACAGAUGAUCGAUUGCUCUGAUACCAUGCUAAAAUAUGAUAUGGUUUGAAUACUUUAGGUUGAGUUUUAUUCUUUUCCAUAAAAAGGUAUAUAUAGGAGUUUACAUGAGUGCUUUACAAAGAAAUAGAUACAAUAAUCAAUUAGGAUAAUAUCUCCUAAUUAUACAAUAAUUUGUCAACUAUAUAGAAUAGGAAAGUAAAUUCCUUAAUUAAUCAAGAAAAUAAAUCUCAUUGAUUAAUUAGGAGACUAACGUCAACAUUUAUAAGCCAUAAAAGAGCAGAAAAAGAGGUACUUAGGAGAUUUUAUACGUCGGACUAAGGUAAGCUUAAAGGACUAUAUCAAAAAAAUAAGGGACCAAGAAGCAAGACAGAGAAGUUGUUAUGCAAACCCAUUAAGUUUAGCAGUGAUGAAUUUGUAAAAAUCAUUCUAGUGGAUUCUGCCUUCACUAUUGAGUUCUUAUUGAGGUUCUAUCUGAAAGGAUCUGGACAUGAAGGAGACCGCUUAUUAAACAAACCGUGGAUGUUUACAGCCUGACAUGUGGUUGCUUGAAAAUCAGCUCCCAUUCUUUAUUCUUGAGGAUCUUUAUCACACAUACAUAAUAACCGACUCUUUUAGGAAUUAUUACAGUACUCAUGAUCAUGAGAGGCUUUCAAUAAUUAAUAUUUCUAAGAAUUUCUUCACAGCCGGAAUAUUGAAUUUGGAGGGGAAGGGAGACAAAUGGAACAGAAUAUCAUCUUCUUCUAGUGUUGGAAAUUUUAUAUUAUUUAAUAAUAUUUAAUUUCUAUUGUGAAUGAAAAAUAAGUUUCUUUAAGAAACGUGUGUCUUAGGCCAGUUUUUCUAACUGGUCGGCUUCCUUAGAUUUGUGCCUAUUGCUUUUCAAAGUAUAAUGAUGCAAUGGUUGUAUCUCGUUCAGGCAAAUGGAAGGUAUAUAGCAAUUUAUAGAACAAUACAGUAAUCCAGAAGAAAUAUUAUGAAAUGAAAAGAAUAAAAAGUAAAAAAAGAGAAAGAAAGGAAUUCCCACCUGCAAUGUAUAUGUAUGAAAGGAAGGACCAAGUUUGUUUUAAAAUGGUAAGAACAAGUUGAUUUUAAAUUGGGUUCAGAUCAACUCAUAGAUUUCUUGCCUUUUCUGUUCUCCUUCCUUGGACAUGAACUGUUUAAUCUUGGACUCUUCCCCAUCAUGUUGGGCCUGUCUUCUUCUUGAGGAUUGUAUAGGCCUAGGAAAUGCUUCGGGGUAGUUUUUGUGUUUUGGGCAUUGGGACCCAACUUCACAAAAAGAAAACAAAUUUGACCAAAACACAAAUUUGAAGGACAUUGAAAUUGUACCCGUAGGAUAGAUUAAAACACUAUAAGGGAGGUAAAUAGUACGUUUACAGAGUUUAAGUGUAAUAAAGGAAUAAAAACAUGCCCAGAGAAUUGAUAAGUGAUAUCAAUUCUUGAAUAUACGUGAAAAUUAUUUUAUGUGGUUAAACCCCACCUCUGGGGAAAAUCCACGGAACUUCUUAGUCCAACUUCUAUCACUUAUCCUAGACACAUUCUAGAUAAUGUUUGCCAACCUCUUCGUAACUCAACUUCUGUCACGAGAUGAUCUUUCAACACUUUAUGUCGAACGCAAUACUGGUCACGAUUUCUUCAAGCUCGCCGGAGUUCUUCCAAUUCUCCUUAUAUUGAAUCUGAUACUAGUCACGAUCGAUUCAAGCUCAUCGGAGAAAAAUCGCCACAACAAUCUUGGUGCCCUCAACCGUAUGAGUCACUGAACAUGCAAAUGAAUACAAUAUGAAUGAUAAAAGUGUUUGAUAAAUCACCAAGUUAUGGAACACUUGAUGAUUUAUCUCAAAUAAAAAUUCAGCUUUCCAAAGUUUAUGAAUUGAAAAUAUGACCGUUAAAGCUCUCUAAACAAAGAAGACGAAGGUCUUAUUUUAUAGACUUUUACUUUACAAGAAAGAAAACACGUUGAAAACCAAAUCUCCAAUUUCCAAGGCUUGACAGAAAAUCACAAAAUUAUCUUUCCUAUUCUAGAGAUUGGUCACAUGAAGUCCAACCAAUAGGAAAUGAGAUAUUUAAGAAAGGAAGAUUUUGAUCAAUAUCAAUAUCAAAUGAAUUCUUAUACGCCUAGUCAAUUGUUAUGGGUAUCUUGACUCCUUGAUAUUGUGAUAUGAUUGAAACAUGAUUUCCACGUUAGAAAAUUAAGGGGAUGUUAAAACAUGAAGGUAAUAGGAGAAUCAAAUUGAUUUGGGCCAAAAUUGCCUAAAAAGAAAACACUCCUUAAUAAACUUCAAUUUACUUUUAAAAAUAGUAAAACGUGAUUGAAUCGUUCUUUAAAACAAUUCCCUAAUAUACAUGCAUGAUAGUGAUAUCACUUACCUUUGAAUCAGAUGGCUUUCACGGGUCAAGCCACAAGUUUUUGUCUUGGGGAUUGCUGAGCUUCAUCAAUCCUGCCAAUGUCAAUUUUGCCCCUAAGCUCUCUCAAAGCACGUUUACAACCUAUGCUAACAUAUAUUAGAGUUUAUGUUAGUAUCAAGAAAAUGCCAACACUAAUUUCGUAACACGUAGAAAUUGUUAGAGAUUGAAGUUUUUAUCAUUUUUUCUUCCAGACUCUCCACCACUCACUAAUAUAGUUUACUCAUGUGAUGAGUUUACAAAACCUAUUUCUCUACUCUCACAAAGACUAUACUUAGGGGGGUGUAUUCAAUUAGGAUUCUAAAGCGUUUAAAAAGAUUUUGUUUAAGUGCCAGCUUUCAUAGAACUUGAUGGAACUUUAUAAUUCGUAUAGAACUUGAUAGACUUUCAGAAGACUUCUGUAUAAUUUUUUAAUAAAACUUUCUUAAGCUUUCAUAGAACUUGAUAGGCUUUCAUUCCAAACUUAUGUAGAUGGUAUAUUUCAUUUUAUCCCCAUCCUUGACAUUUAAAGAAAGAAACUUGAAUUUUUUCAAUCAAAUUUGUUUUUGUUACCAAAGCAGCAAAAACAAAAAGUACUUGUUUGCGAUGGAAGAACAUAUGCACAGUUCAAAAUGAAAAGAAUAAGAAGCAAAGUACCUAUUUGACCAAUGAAUGCUGUGUCAACUAGAGAAGCAAUUGGAUCGGCUGUCAAAGCCAAUGCUGCAGGCAAUGCAUCGAUGGUCCAAAUUGCAAUAAAAAAAUAUUUUGAAUAAUGGCUCUUGCAGACAAAGACCACAUAAAUUCUGAACUGGUCUAGCUUGAAUAAUAAGGUUAGAUUAGCCAAUUGAUGAGAUUAAAAGCAAAGCAAGUUGAUGAAUUUAUCAUCAACUAUUUAAUAACCACAGUCCUGAUCUCUUGGACCCCUGUAGUCCAAGAGAUUUAUGGUCACCCACCGUUGGAUGUAAAUUCAACGGUUGACUUGAAUCGGGUAAUAAUCAUUUAUGUCAUAUUGCAUUUAUAUAUAUCAUUUUGAACCAUUGGAUUAAUAUCCAACGGUGGGUGACCACAAUCUCUUGGACUCCUGUGGUCCAAGAGAUCGGGACUGUUAAUAACCAAUAGAGUAUUUAAACAUAAACAACAAUGUUUGAUCAACAAAACAAAUAGUCCAAAUAUCAUCCAAAAAACAAUAACAAAAAAUCAAUCAUUCCAAACAAACUAGUCAUUCUCAAAAACUCUCAAAAAACCCACUCAUUCCAAAUUGUAGGAUAUCCAAUUUGAGCACUCCUCAGGAGACAUUUUCAAAAAUGCAUCCUUUUUUGUGUUACUAUGCAACAAAGAGAGUGCUUUAUAACGAGCAUGUUCAUCCAAAUUUGGGGUCUCCUUAAUGGCAUCCCAUAUAUAACUCCGCUGCUCUCUCUCUUUUUCCCUUUUUGCCAAUAGGUUAUGGACCUCCCGGAAGUCGAUGACAAUUGAAUCAAUGCUAAGGCUAAUUCUUCCCAUAGCUUGCUGGGUGGUCACAUUUGAGAUAGCAUUCCCUUCCAAAUAUGUUCUAGUUCGUUUCCUCUAGUAACAAGCAUAAAUCCUAGUAACAAGCAUAAACCCUAACCCCAACCUAUAACCUAAUAACAAGAAGAAAACCCAACGAGGUAUUGAUCAAAGAAAAAUUAGGGAGCAUACCUUCACAGAUGGAGGAAGGAAGCUGUUCGUCUUCGCAGAGAGAAAAUCUAGGGAAAGAGAAAAACGUCUUAUGAAAUACUUGGGGGGGAGGUUGGAUUUAUUUUGGUCUUUUUUAUUUAUAACUCUCCCCUUAAAACCUACGUAAAUUUAUCACUUAAUGAAAUCCUUCCAAAUAUAUGACCUUUCGAAUACACCUAGAUUUGAUUCAACUUUUUUAUAAUCAUAAUUGAAUACACCCAUAUUUGAAUGGACUUUUUAAAAGUUCAUAUAGGUCCGAAAUGAAUAUACUCAAACUUGUAAAACCUCUUUUAAAGUUUGUAUAAAUCCAAAUUGAAUACACCUGGAUUUUUAAAAUCUUUUUAAACACUUUAUAAUCCUAAUUGAAUACACCCCCCUUAUUCUCAAAAGACUAUAUUACUUUACCUCUAUCUCUGUGAAAUGUAAAAAGUUGAAACUUUAAUGUCAAACCUCAACAAAAGAUGAACUUUCAUCAGUUACGUUGAAUUUGGAUUUGUUGAACUUAAGUGGUUUUAUUUUCUUUGUCAGUGUUUGAUGACUUAAUUUGGUAUUUAUUUCUUCUUUUUUUUCCUUGGAAAUGUGUUCCACCAACGUGAGGAAGAAAAAUAUGCACAAAUUAAUAUAUUUAAUAGAAGCCCAAGAUUUCGGAUGCAUAUAAUUUCUACAAAAAUCUACAAAGUUUUUUACUUUACAAACUUCUUAUGUCUACCAAUUUCUACUAAAAUUAAUUUCUCUGUGGUGCUCAAAUUCAUCAUAUGUGUGUCGUUAAUUUUAUUGAAAAUUGGAAGUUCCCAUCAUUUUUGUUUUUUGGGAAUUUUCUGAACCAAGGAAAAUCAAGUAAAAUUAAUAAAGCCUAAAUUGGAAAGGGAAAAUAUCUAGAGGAUGCAUUGUAGGAUUGCUCAUGCCAAUAAUUGUACCCUCUAAAUAUAUAGAGACAUAUUUUUUUUGUUUUCAUGACAUGUGGUCCUAAAAUUAUUGUGUAAAUCUUCAAUCCUGAACGAUGCACCUAAAACUCAUCCACCCAUUCUCAGGCCAAUUAUUGCACCUAGUGGGCUCUCGACCCCCUCUCAAAUUUAACCACAUAUUUUAUGGACCAUCCAGCUGUGAGGUACAUUCCCCCCACAUGCCACAAUUGUAUAUUCACAAUUACGUCUGAUACAUCACAUCAUGCCACUUGCCUCAAAUGAAUUUAAGUGAGUGAGGCAGUUGGAAGUAAUUAAGCUCUAUAUUGGUGGGUGGAGUGUUACUUCUCGGUUCCCCUCAUCAUUCGUCUAUAAAAUGGUGAAGGCAGUUGCUAUUGUUACCAUAAGAGCCAGCUCCGACUUCCUUUAAUUUCUUGCUUCAUAUCCACUAGCUACAUCUGUUACCAAGUUAAUUUCAGUUCUAAUGGGGUUUCAUCUCCCACUCAUCUUUGCUCUUCUCAGUGUAAGCUCUGCAAUUUGAUUAACUUUUCCAUUCUCUCUCAUUGUACUCUAUAUAAACGAAAGUUUUGUGUUCCUAUUGUUCUCUCCGAUUUUAUUUAGUACGUACUUAAGUGUCGUCCACUAAUUAAUUAUACUUUGUGAUUUGAUUUUAAUUUGAGUUUGAAUUAAUGUUGCAGCUAGCAGCAGUGGCACUGGCAAACCAUGCUGCUCAACCAGCACCUCAACUUUACUGGAGCUCCGUCCUGCCAAACACACAGAUGCCAAGAUCUAUCAGUGAACUUCUGCAUCCUGGUUUGUGUUGAGCUCUUUAGAAUCUUAGAUAUCUCUUCUACCUGCCAUUUUACUAAAAUAUGUUCCACCACAUAUUUAUCAGUUAACCAUUGUCAUUACAUGAGUGACACAUAUUCACAAAUCGGCUGAUCACUUAUUUUCCAUUAUGACUUGAUAUAUAAUUUGCAGACUCCACAAAUGAAGAAAAGAGCACAAAUGACGUUGGCAAACCUGAAACUUUCCCAUUGGGCAAUCAACAUUACUCCAGUCAAAAACAUUAUGGAGGCAUACCUGAAACUUCCCCAUUGGGCAAUAAACAUUACUCCAGUCAAAAACAUUAUGGAAGAGGCAAACCUGAAACUUUCCCAUUGGGCAAUCAGCAUUACUCCAGUCAAAGACAUUAUGGAAGAGGCAAACCUGAAACUUUCCCAUUGGGCAAUAAACAUUACUCCAGUCAAAAACAUUAUGGAAGAGGCAAACCUGAAACUUUCCCAUUGGGCAAUCAGCAUUACUCCAGUCAAAAAAAGUAUGGAAGAGGUGCUUCUCCAUCCGACAAUCAACAACUCCAUUAUAAAGACUUAGCUAUUUUCUUCUUGGAGAAGGACAUGCGCCCUGGCACAACAAUGAAGUUCCAAUUCC
rnacentral:lncRNA from 1 species